rnacentral:lncRNA from 1 species
CCAAUUACUAAACAAUCCAGACAGAUCCUUCAGAAACGGGCAAACUACAGGCCCAACAAGCAAAGCAGAAGACCAACAAACAGCCCAAACGAAAGCCCACUCAAUUGGGUCGAGGCAGAGGGGGGUGGAGUGGUCGGCUCAGGCUCAGGCUUUGGUGGAGGCUCCGGCUUAGGCUGCGGAGGAAAUGGUGUCGGAUUCGGCAGCGGCCAUGGAUUAGGGUUAGGUAGCUCCUGUAGAUCGGAAGGCUUCACAUCAACGUGUAGCUUCAGACCAUUAUUGCAACUUUCCUGGUUCCCAAUCACAAAGUACCUGCUCCCUUCCCUUUCAAGUGGAAUUUGAUUUACACCGUCCGUGUACAUCUUGAUAGGGUUUGAGAGAUCACACGAUUGAAAUUCCUCCAGGCUCUGCAACUCCACAACGCUUUCCUGUGGUGCUGAGUAGGUGAACCCUGCAUAAACCAUCGUUGGAGUGAGCUUAAUUAAGUUGCUUAUAUGUGAACUUUCAACACUUACCGCUGAGCUUUUUUAUUUUUUUUCCUAAAAAAGAUAAUAUUUUUAAGUAAAAACCAAACAUAAAGAAGAUACGUGCUUACAAAUUCUGUCACCAACCCUAAAGACUCGACCGGACAACCAAGAACCGAUGUCGGAAUCAGCGUUCCAACGGCGGUCGCUGCCUACUACAUGGUGCACUGGGCCUUGAACCUCUUGAGCCCCAACUGUCACCGCCACAAGAACCGCCACUAGCAGAGACGUAAAUACCCUAUCGCCACCCAUUUUAUCUAGCUUGAAAUAAUGCCUUCCCUGUCAAUUAAUAAACCGGAAAGUAUACUCUCAAUCCCUCCUUUGAUGGGCAGUUUCCUAUAAAUAAGACAAGGUGGGGAGAUGUUGAACCUUUGAAAAAGUUACACGUGUUAGGAUCUAACACGUGUGUGCUUAUUUGAAAUUUAAAUCAAAAUCUAACACGCAUCUCUUUAAAGUAAAUCAUAAAAUAAUUCUAUUCGUAGUUAUUGCAUUACUACGAAGUAUAACUGCAUUUUCAAGAGAUUCUUUAUUUUUAAAUAGUCUUAAUAAAAAGCAUCUUUAAAUUUAUACGUUAAUUUUUUUUAUGCACUAGAUUUUUUAUUUUUUUAAUCAAACGUUUAUAUUUUCAUGCCAUCGAUAGAGAGCAAUACCUAGAUUUGAUUUAAUAAAUUUAGAUGCUAAGAUACAAUGUUAAAUGCAAACCCCAUCCGAAAAAUCAAUAUUUGAUUGAAAAUUUGACGUAGCGCGAGAUUUUAUACAUAUUUGACUACCUCUUAGAUCAUAGUGUUUUAAUUAUUUUAAAAACUUAGAAUAGUGGAGAUGAAUCACAUGUGUUUAUUGAUAUCUGUUUUUGAAUAAUUUUAAAUAUAAUUUUCAAUAUUGUUUUCCACUGUAAGUGAGUUUAUUUUUUUAUCAAACAUCUAUAUGCUCGGUCACUAUGUUAAACGACAAAUGAUCUAAAACGUCAAACUUAUUUUAAAAUUUUGGUAAAUUUUGAUAAAAAAUUGAUCAGUGACGGCCCUAACUAUAAGUGGGAUAGACGAUAGCCUAAUGCCCCACUUUGAUGAAGGCCUCAAAUUAUGUAAAGUUAAUUAAUUGAAAAAAGAAUUAUAUUUAUGGAAUUCUUUAAAAUAGAAUGAUUCAUCAUGUAAAUAGCAUAAAACUUAUCACAUCCAAACAUUACACACUCUCUAUCUCUCUAUAGAUAAUUUGACCGUCCAAAUAUCCAAUUUCUUUUCUUAACCAAACAACAAUGAUUUCUAUGUCUCUUCAAAUUUCAUGUCCAACAAUAACCCACCAUAAUUUUCGUUAUUUUGUUAUACACUAUCUCGCAAUAAAUAUUCUCCGAUUGUUUAUACAUAAAUCACUCAAAUACAAUUCAAUUUUCUUUUAAAUAGUUGCAAUGAUAAAAUGAUUAAAGAAACAAACAGAUCCCUCUGUCAUUUCAUUAUAGUUCUGUAUGUCAAACUUCACUUCUAAUUUGUAUUGCAUGUUGUAUUUUUAUAUUUUGUUAUUUUCCUCUUCAAAUUUUGGCGUUUAGUUGUUUGUAUUAGAUUCUUCGAGAUUAUACUAAAACUCUAUAUAAGAAGACUCAAGUAAGAAUACAAUAAUUUUUCUUCAAUAGGGCUCAUAUCUAAAGUUGGCUUAAGGUCCCCAAAAUAUCAAGGUCAGCCCUGAAAUUGAUCAAAUAUGCGAUACAAAAGUUGAUAAAAGUUAUAAAUUCAUAAGAUAUGUGAUUAAAAAUGAAUUUCAAGAAAAAAUAAAUUUUAGAAAAUGAAAAUAUAAGAUAAACGGUGUAUAUUUAUUUAAAAAAUUGAAAUGAAGAUUCUAUUAAUUUAAACUUACAUAAGAACGACACGUGUCUUUAUUUUUUCAAAAAUCUAAUCUCGGAUAUGGGAGGUGCAGAGCUCUGUUUGGUAGUCAAUUCGUCGGCCACUAGUUUCACCUACCAAUUGGUAGGUGGAAGUUUAUUUCUUCUUUGCAGAAUAUCUAGAAUAGAAUUGACCAAUUUCAAAUUUCCCGCAUUAAUAUAGAUAUUUUUACUGUUUUCCAGAAUUCACCUACCAACUCUCGAGACUCACGAGGAGGGUUAUUCAAUGUGUUUUAUUAAAAUGUGGACCGAAAUGAUAAUAUUUAAAUAAAUAAAUAAAUCAGUACUCUUUUUGAUAUUUGGGAAAGCAAACACAAGAGUCAUCAAUGACUAUGCUGCUACGACAAAAGGAUAAAGAACCUUGGAAUAUUUCCUUUAAGAGUAUCUUUUCUUAUUCAAAGGAGCAUCUAAAUUUUUACGCUUUUGCUAUGGGUACAAAACCAGCAAAACCGUGUUCAUAAGAGCAUCUAAAUUUUUACGAAUUUACUAUGAGUACAAACUCGUGUGUCCAACGGCACCUCGGCAUUGGCCGACCACGCCUGGACCCACAGACGCCUCAGCCAAUACCAAGGUGCCGAGUGUCCAUUUGGGCACCCUUUUGGACACCGUUUUGUACCUCAAACAUUUUUCAAAUUUUUAUACAAGUUCAACAAUAUUGUUUAGAUUUAAUCUUUAUUUUGAUAAUUUUAUAAAUAAUUAUCAUUCAAUUUUUUUUACUUAGUUUCCCUCUUUUUUAUUUUAAUAUUUUCUAUCUAUUUUGAAAGAGAUACAUGAGGAAUUGUAAAAUAACAAAUAAAAGCACUGAAAGGUUUUUAUUUUUAAUCUUUAUUUUUUUCCCAUAAGCAAAUAAGCAAUUAUCACUUAAUUUUUUUCUUUUUCUUUUUUUCCCUAGUUUCCUCUUUUUGUUUUAUUAUUUUCUCUUUAUUUUGAAAGACAUGCAUGAAGAAUUUUAAGAUAAAUAAUAGCACCACAAGUUUUAUAUACAAGGUGAGUUUGAUUCACUACAGUUGAAAAUUUAGACUCACUAGAAUUUAUAAAGAGUUAACUCCUAGAAAAAGAUUAUCUAUCUAAUAUUGAGUGUGUUGAGCGAAGAAUAAUUCUCCUUUUACAAGAGAAUUGUUCAUAGGCAGUUUAGGCACCCUAUAGAUUUACGUUUAACAUUUAGAUUCUAACACAAAGUAUCCUAAGAAAUUUGACCUAAAAAUACAACAAUAAAAAUUGAUGUAACUUUUAUGUUUAAUGAUUAAUGUCUAAUUCAAUUGAUAAAAGCAAGGUUAGUAACUUGAAUUAGAGACUCGUUUGGAGGCGAUGAUGAAAUUAAAAAAAACUUUCAAUUUAAUUGAGCGCAUGUCGUAAAUUUUAGAGAGUCAAACACACUCUAUUUAUAUUUUAUAAUGAUUAUAUUAAUUCCUUUUAGUGAGGAUUAAAAUCAAACUUUUAAUAAAUCUCAAUUUAAAAAAUUGAUGAAAAAGUGUUGUUCAAAAGUUGUGAAUCGUAUGAAAUAUGUACUUAAAAUUAAUUAUUAAUUUUGACUUAGAUUAAGAUCUAAAUUUUAAUCCUUAUCAAAUAGAGGCUUAAUAAGUUGUAAAUUUCAAGUGUCUUGAAUUAUUCAAAUCAUCUUUAAUUUUAUUUAUUAUAGACAUUUCAAAAUAUGUAUUGAUUAAAAAGGAGGAAAAAACAAUAACGUCAUUUGAAAUGUAAAAUAAAGAGCUUGUUCAUUUUUUUUACUUUUAAAAUUUAAAUAUGCUCUCUACUGUUUACAAUAUACCUUUUAAAAAUAAAGAGAUUAUUGGAGAUGUCAUUAGAAGUAACUUAGCCUAUCAACAUAUUUGAACCUUUUUUGUUUAUAUAUAUAUAUGAGUUUGCUUGGUACAGAUUUUAAAUCAAUUAUAAUAAUUUUUUUAACAAUUAUUUUAUUAUUUCAGCUAUCAUUUUUGAAUUUAUCUCUCACAGAUUGGACUCACUUUAUUUCUAACGAUCAAAAGAUCAAUUAACCAAAUCCUCACCAAACAAGCACUAUAUAUCUUAAAACUUACUCUUUUUUAAGCUUAGCCAAAUUUGCACCUACAUCGAGUUUGACUAUGCUUAAAAUUUUUACUCAUAAAUAAAUGAAAACAAAUUUAAAAUAAAUAGUUUCUUUUUAGUCCGAGUUAAAAGCAGUAAAAAAUUGUUUAUUUUUGACAAAAAUGUAAUAAUUAAUUACAAGAAAAGAAUUUUCUGUACUUAAAAUAAAAUAGUUAAUUAUUCUAAAAGAUAAUUUUACUUUUUCUUAAAGUUUAUCCAGACAUACUUUAUCCAUUUUCUCGAUAGAUGUUCCUUUCAGUCUUGAUUGACAAAAAUGUCCCAGUACUGAAAAUUACACCUCCAGCUCCUUCACGUUUACGUGUAUUCAAUUUAAAUUUCAAAUUUCAACUCAUGCGCCAAAUAGAUAGAAUUGAAAUUUCAAAUUAAAAUAUGUAGGUGAAAAUGAAGUUUAAAGAUUUAUGAAUAGUUUAUAAAUUUUAUCAAACGCUUAAAUUCCAAAUUGAUGGAUAGUGACUGACACAACGAGAAAAGAAAUUCAAACGAAAACUUUUAGAUUACGAAAUUUGAAAUCUACCAAAUUAAGGAGAAAACAAAUUUCACGAAUUUUAUUGAUGAAUGAUGAUGAAAAAAACGAACUAACUCCUUAUUUAUAAGGAUUUACAUGGAAACAUAGUUUAAAACAACUAAAAAUAAUGAAAAACAAAAUAAUAAAAACCCAAAAUAAAUGAAUUGACAAAAAUAGUAUCAAAAUUUUAAAAAUCAUUUUUUGGGUCCUAAGCGAACUCGAAUGGUCGAAAUUCAUCGUACAUCACUACGUAGCAGUGUUUAUUGUUCCUCUCAUCGUUCUCUUUCCAAAAUGGUCUUUUGGGGCCCCUAUCCGAAAUUAUGAAUACUUUUUCUCCAAUAUCUCUAAUAUGUUAUUAAAAUUUUACUUGAAAUUGGUACAUGAUAUAAAAUUUCAAAAGUAGAUGAGAGAGACAAUCUAGAAGAAGCGCAUUUCCGUCGGUCUGUCCCCAUCUUUUUUCCUUUUCUUAGAUUAUCAUAAAAAUCAUUUCAUUACUGGUUUGGUCCUUAAUUCUGGAUUUGUAGUAAGAAAAGGAUUAUUAUACAUCUAAAACCCAUCAUCAUUACGUGGGAGCAAUCCCUCCACUCCACUUAGAGAUAACGAUUUGAAAAGCCAAUGAAUUUUUACCGUGUUUUAAAAUGCGUGUGCAUGUUUUCAUUGGGCACUUCAUAUUCCAUUAUCUACAUUUCUCCUUUAACAUAAUUACAAGUGUCAACCAAGCAGUACCGAUGACUUGGACCAAUAGAAAAAUCUCUUUUAAGAAAUGCCUAAACAACAAGAUGCUUUUAGUCACUGUUUGGUAAUUAUUUUUUUUCAUACUCAUUUUUAACCACACAUUACCACAAUAAAAUAUUCUUUAAGUCAACUUAAAUUUUUUUCUAUUUUUUAACCAUUCAUUCUCCAAAAAUUUACUAUUAAAAAACUCAUUAUUUACACAAUUUACAUCUCUCCAUUAAAGAGAUUUUCAAUCACUCUGAAGAUCUAAAUCAUAAUUUACAAAUAUUUUACAGCACGACUGGGGAUUCUUAUCGACAGAACCAUCCCAAAUUUUAAAAUUUACAUAUUUUUACCAUCUUUUUUUCUUCCUUAUAAAUGACUAUGUCCGUAAUUAAUGACAUUAGAUAAAAUAAGAUUCCAAAUGAUUUUCUUUUAUUUUUUGACACAAGAUUGGACAAUUCAACAAAAGAAAUUUAAACUUAUUUUUCUUCUUCGAUCCUGUUAAAUACUAUUCAAUCUACUUUAUCAAAUGAUCAUCAUGACAUAACACAACUAGACAUCAAAAUCAGUAGAUUUUCAAGUUAUCAUGGAGAAAAGGGAAUAAGAUGUAUAUCACAAAGGCACGGGCAUGCUAGUAUAUUGACUCUCUUCCAUAUGUUAAAAAGGUAAAGUGGUGAUGAACUGAAACAAACGUGAAAAUUUGAUUCUUGCUACAAGUAUAUCAAAAUUUACAUAAUGAAUUACAUAAUAUUACAUGGCACUCUACCAUUUGUCAAUUGAAAAAUAUUACAUGUAUAUCAUUGUCUACAUAAUGGUGUCCAUAAUUACACGUAGUAUUGGAUCCAACCUUUAAUUUAAAUUUCACACUUGUACAUCAACAAUCGGAUGAUUGUCACAUCACGUUAUGGACACCAUUAUGCGCAAUAAUUAUAUACAAGUAGAAUUUUUCUUGUCAGUUUAACACAUCAUAUUUUAUGUACAAGUAGCAAAAUUCAUCGUAACCCCAUCGCUGUAUAAAUAAAAAUUAAUCACCUGAACUUGUCCUCGACUCCAGCUAAUGCAACACGGACGGUGCUGUGCUAGUGUUGUUUUGCUACCUAUAGUCAUUAGGAUUCUCUCUGCUCUGGAUGAGAGGGAUGCCAUCUUCCCGACAGAUUUAUCCGGUCUUCACAUAAUACAGCUACUAACUCAACAUAGAGUUUGUGCUCCUGAUCAUGAAGAACAAAGGGGAUCUGAUGCAGGGCGAAUAAUUCAAUAAAGAUAACAAGAAGAGAUGAGAGAGGGGGGAGAAGAAGAAGAACAGAGACAGAGGGAAGAAGAGAGGAAAACGACUAUAGCCAACUUUAUUAUUUAAUCAAAUUCAUCAACUCAAAAAUAACAAUGUAGAAUAGAUUUAAAUACUGAAAAUACUGCAAACCUAGGGCCAAGCCCAAUACACAAGUCCAUAAAAAUGAAAUAACCUAAAUCCAACUAAGAAAUAAAAGUCCAACUCUAGGAUGUCCUCAUCAAUUCUCCCAGGGUGGGAGAGAAAACUCGACCUUGUCGAGUGGCUAUAUCACCAUAGGCUGAGUGGCUGGGCAAGCUUCUUCUGGCGUCUGUAGAAAUGUGUCAGUGGCGGUCUGAAUCUGGUGUCCUCACCAACUCCUCUCGGGUGGACGGGAGGCGAUCUGGGCCAAUGAAGAUCCUGCUGACUUCGAUAAAACUCUAACAAAUCUGGAUCCAAUUGCUGUAGUGUCUCCCUGGAGAUCCAUGCACAGUCACAAUUUGGUCGACCAACCCUACGAAUAAGGAAGUGCUGAACCUCUCCAUCAUUAGUGAACACAGUUUCUUCAUCUAAAAUAGCAUCAAUUUUUUCUUUGUGUGCUGUGAGAGGUGGUAGUGGGUUAGAAGGGGCCAAAGAAUCAGGAUCAAGGUCUACAAAAGGAGAUGACAGAGGAUCAUCUGAGGGAAUGAAAUGGCCUUUAUAAGCUACGAGGUCCUCAACAUUGAAAGUAGAGUGGUAACCAAGGUGUGGUGGAAUGUCAACAAUAUAUGCAUUUGGACCAACCUGUUUUAAAAUUUUAAAAGGACCAGCACUACAAGCUUGCAAUUUAGAGGCGGGUCCAUGUAGACGCCGCUUUGGCCUAAUGCGAACCAUAACGUAAUCCCCAAUGUUACACUCAACAUGUCGUUUGUGUAAAUCAGCUUGAAGUUUAUAUUUUGCAUUACUAGUUUCAAGUUAUUUAUUAAUCUCAAUAUGCAAGUCACAAAGAUGAUGUGCAAAUACUUUGGCUGAUACUGACACUCUAGCAUGUGGGGACAUAGGGAUGAGAUCUAACGGUUUCCUAGGCUUGUACCCAUGACCGGCUUCAAAUAGACUCAUACCUAAUGAACGAUUUAUGGAGCUAUUAUACGCAAUUUGAGCUACAGGAAGGAUUAAAUCCCAAUUUCGAAGGUUUUCCUAGACCAGACAACGUAAUAGGUUACCAAGAUUUCAAUUAACAACUUCAGUUUGACUGUCAGUCUGAAGGUGGUAGGCCGUAGAAAAUUUCAAUUUGGUACCCAUCUUGUGCCACAAAGUUCUCCAAAAAUGGCUAGUGAAACGAACGUCCUUAUUCGACACGAUGGUCUUGGGAAGCCCAUACAAUUUGACAAUUUCAUUAAAGAAUAACAGGGCAACCUUGGACACAUCCGACGUCUUGCUACAGGGGACAAAAUGAGCCAUCUUUGAGAAACGAUCGACAAACACAAAAAUAGAGUCAUGCUUUUUUGGGGUACGUGGAAGUCCUAAUACAAAAUCCAUACUAACAUCUUGCCAAGGACAAUUAGGGACAGUGAGAGGGAUGUAUAGACCUGUGUUCUGCUUUUUCUGCUUACUCAAUUGACAAGUGUUACAAGUACUAACAAUCUUAGCCACGUCUUUCUUCAAGCUAGGCCAAUAGAAUUGACGUUCAACUUCCUCUAUGAUCUUAUCACGUCCAAAAUGACCAGCUAACCCUCCCGCAUGAAUUUCCCACACAAUGAAAUCUCGCACUGAAAUUCGAGGAAUGCACAAUUUAUUGGCUCUAAAGAGAUAACCCUCCUCAAGUCGAAAGCCAUCUGUGGCGCUUGAAUGUCCCCUUUGUAAAUCAAGAAAGAUAUCUUUAAAAUCGGGACACGCCUCGUAAUCUUCCUUAAGUCUUUCAAAACCGAUGACCUUGACACUCAUGAUCGACAAAAGGGAGACACGACGACUUAACGCAUCAGCUGUUUGGUUCUCUACGCCUUUCUUGUGUUUUAAAACAAAUGAAUAUGCCUGCAAAUAUUCGACCCAAUAACCGUGCCUAGAACUUAAUCUUUUCUGGGAGUUGAGGUAACGGAGGGCCUCGUGAUCCGAAUAAAGGACAAAUUCCUGGGAUAACAAAUAGUGGCGCCAAUAGCGCAAAGCCUGGACCACUGCAUACAGUUUAUUAUCAUAAGUUGAGUACCGCUGUUUGGCCUCGUUUAACUUCUCACUGAAAUAGGCAACAGGGUGACGAUCCUGACUUAAGACUCCGCCUAUACCUACCCUGGAGGCGUCACAUUCAACUUCAAAGACUUUGGAAAAAUCGAGAAGACGCAUGACAGGGGCCUCCAUCAUUCGCUUCUUAACUAACUUAAAGGCUUUAGCCGCCUCUCGUGUCCAAUGAAACUCCCUUUUCUUCAUGCACUCCGUAAUAGGCGCCAUAAUAGUGCUAAACCCCUUAAUAAAGCGACGGUAAAAUGUAGCUAAGCCGUGAAAACUCCUGACAUCAUAAAUAACUUUGGAUUCAAGCCAGUCAAUAAUCGCCUAAACCUUAGCAGGGUCAGCGGAUACCCUUGUCGAAGAGACAAUGAACCCCAGAAAAAUGACUGUGUCGGUGAAGAAAGAGCUCUUCUUGACAUUCGCAUGUAGAUUAGUUGCACGAAGGGUAGAGCAAACUUGCGUGAGGUGGUCAACGUGUUGCUCCUUAGUCUUACUAUAGAUGAGGAUAUCAUCAAAGUAGACAACAAGAAACUUGCCCAUGAAAGGUCGGAGAGUUUGUGUCAUUACUCGCAUAAAGGUACUUGGCGCAUUACUCAGCCCAAAAGGCAUGACCAGCCAUUCAUAAAGAUCAUCUUUCAUCUUAAACGCGGUCUUCCACUCAUCACCUAGGCGAAUUCGGAUCUGAUGGUAUCCACUCUUCAGAUCAAUCUUCGAAAAGAUUGUGGCACCAACCAUCAUAUCUAACAUAUCGUCAAGGCUAGGAAUGGGAAAACGAUACUUCACCGUGAUCCUAUUGAUCGCGCGACUAUCCACACACAUUCUCCAAAAACCAUCCUUUUUGGGCAUCAAUAGGGCGUGGACAGCACACGGGCUUAAACUCUCACGAAUGAAUCCUUUGUGAAGGAGAUCAUCCACUUGCCUUUGAAGUUCAGCGUGCUCGGUAGGAUUCAUCCUAUAAUGAGAUAAAUUUGGGAGGCAUGCCCCUGGGACGAAAUCUAUGGCAUGUUGAAUAUCCCUUAGUGGAGGUAGAUAGUCAGGCAGGUCCUCCGGAAAGACGUCUCGAAACUCUUGGAGGAUCGACAGGACUUGAACAGGGCUCUCUAUUGUGGAGUGGGAUGGAACCUCCAUGACCACCAAAGCGAACACAACUGAGUCACCGACAAGUGUACGCUCAAACUCCGUAGGACUAAUGAUGUGCAAUCCCUUUCGUUCCACACUUUUUUUCGUUUCCAGUGGGCCAGCAGGCUUUGGGGGCAGUGGGUUAAGGUGAAUUUUCUUUCCAUUAAACACGAAAGAGCAGGAAUUAGAUCGACCAUAGAUGGUUACAUCUAGCUCAAAUAACCAAGGUCGUCCCAGGAUAAUGUGCCCAACGUCCAUUGAAAUAACGUCACACCAUAUAUGAUCCUUAUACUCGAGAAAUUGGAUAGGGACUAAACAAUACUCCUUGACAGCUAUGGAAGAGGUAUCAACCCAAGAGAUGCUGUAUGGCUGAGGGUGAGGAACAGACUUCAACCCUAGACGGGAUACAGUAAUCAUCGAAACCACAUUAAUGCAGCUGCCACUAUCCACGAUAACUUUACAGCCCUUAUUGUUAAUCUUGAUGUAAGUGUGGAAGAUAGCAUGACGGCGCCAAUCAUCGGCAUCCCUAGGCUGGGUAAGAGUACAACGGACAACACCGACUCUAGGCGUAUGUGGGAUAAGGGGACUAGCCUGAAUACAACCCAAGAAGGUAUCUUCACUAUCCUCCAAGUCAUCAAACUCUUCUAACUUAGGCUCAUAAACCUGAUCCUCUAGUGGCUCGUCAAUUAUACCUUCACGCUCUUUCAAAACUAGGGCUCGGCUAGGACACUUAGAAGCAAUGUGACCAAAACCCUUACAGUUGAAGCAUUACAAACGAGAGGACGUUCUUGAAACCUCAGAACCUCUACCUUUACUAUCCGAUGUAGGGGUAGUAUUAGAAGGAGGAGGUAGUGGAUGCAGAAGAGGUUGCAAUACUACAACUUUUGUACGGUGUCCUAGUCACUAACUCGUAAUCCCGAACGAAAGAGUAGGCGUGGUCAAGAGUGGUGACGUCUCUAAGAACAAGCUCACGUCUAAGAUCAUCUCGUAGGCCUUGCCUAAAUCUACUCAAGGUCAUGAUUUCAUCCUCAACGACCUGACAUCUCAUUCGAAACUCGUCAAACUGAGCAACAUAUUCGGUCACAGGUCGACUGCCUUGCGUAAGUGUGUUCCAUUGAUCCAGCAAGUUGCCCCUGUAAGAUUGAGGUAAAUAUUUUUCUUCAAGGCGACGCUUCAUUUCAUCCCAGUUCCCAACAGGGAGAGCAUGGCGCCUCUCUAGGAGGUCCUCAUCACUUUUCCAAAACAGUUGAGCUGUGCCAGUUAAUUUCAAACUGGCAAAUUGUACUCUCCGAUUUUCAGGGACCCCAUACCAGGCAAAGAAGCGAUCCAUAUCUCUAAUCCAUUGAUUGAAUACACUAGGAUCUAGACAAUCAUCAAAUGUAGGGGCAUCUAACUUAAUAUUUCGAAAGAGGCGCUCCUUGUGGCGAAGGAGAGAUAGUGUACCAUGACGGUGAUACUCCCGCUCGCGUCCACGAGCUUGAUUUCCGUCCCUACGAUCAUGUCUAGCAUGGUGUCGACCACCUUGUGGAUGACGAUGUGGUCUAUUAAUGGAAGCGUCAUAAUUUUCAGCCUCAGUUGAGGAUUGGGUUGGGUCAAGAGUGUUUACCCUAGCGGUUAGGGCUCUAUUCUCCUCGCGAGUAGCGGCUAAAUCAGUUUGGACAGUCGUUAAUUGAUUUUGUAAUUGUGCCAACUGUCGGGUGAUAGCUUCAAUGUGGGAAGGGUCCAUGGCAACGGUACUAGAGUUAGAGACAGUAACGCGACCACUACGUAAUUGCAUACACGGUAACACAAGUUAGGUGAAGUGCCUACUGAGAUCAACAACCAACGAGUGCCAGCAGGGAAAAUAGUGACUGAAAUUUAUCUAUUGUUAUUAUUAUUAUUUUAUUUUAUUGUAGGGAUUACGUGUGGUCCGAUCGCAAGCUAAUACUACUAAUGCCAAUAAAAUAAAAAAGCAAAGGUACAAAUGCUAGGACUAGUCACGUGGGGUAAAGGAGUGAAUAAUGGGGUCGGCUCGUGAAUUUCAAUCCAAUAGAUUUAAGGUUAAAUUAUCAAAAUAUUAGCAACAUAAAGAAUGAAUUGAUGCAAUUCUAGAGUACAGUAACAGUGUCACUAAAAAUGAAUAGGAGUAGAGACUCCCUGAAUUCAGUUGGCCUGAGUCGUCCCAGCGUCGAAUGUCUCCACUUUCUGAAUGGUUAAGCGUUGAGAUGCCAAGACAGAAAUUUCGUAUUCGUCGAGGUGUGGUACUGAUUAGUCAACUAAAAUGUACCUGUAGAAUCAUGUCAGGAAAUACCCAAAAAUUCUCGAUCUUUUUUUUUUAAACUCUUUUUUUUGACUUUUUUUUUAAUGAUACAAAUUAGAUAAACUUUACAUAAAUGAAACAAUAAGGACUAAUUGUGGUCCAAAAUAAAAUAAAAACAAAGACUAUUGACUAAAACCCCAAACAAACCAUACAACUAACCCAACCUCACGUGAAGUCGGUCUCAAGAGGGGGAGAGACGGGCAUUGAGGCGCCGUCGACUGGAUUGAGGGGCUGCGGUUUGGAUUUAUCAAUGGUGGUGAAGUUUUCGAUCGUCUCGGUGGCUACUACCGUUUGGGGAUGUUGGCUGCUCCCAGGGUGAAGCUCGUGACUUUGCAGGUCGCGUUUUUUUUUUUGGUCUUUCGGAGGUUCCUUGGAAGUGUUUUUUGGCAUUCAGCAGUGGUGGUGGCGUGAAUUGCAGGUCGUAGGUGAUAGUGGCUUAUGUGAAAUCAAUGGUGGACGACACUGUGUUUUGGUUAAUGGGCUAUUACAAUUGGAGGCGGCGAUAGCGAGGUGGGCGUUUUGGGGCGCCGAGAAUUGCUCGAAUAUUGCAGGAGAUGUCAGAACUUGGGGUGGCAGGGUGGGUGUUGUUCGGCAACGGAGUGGCUGACGGUGUAGGUUUUCUGUGGUGAUGGUUACUGUGUGAAAACGGGCUUUUGGUUUUUUUUGCAGUAGGGCACCAAUUUGAUGCAGGGUGGGCGUCGUCCGGCAACGGAGUGGCUGACGGUGUAGAUUUUCUGUGGUGAUGGUUACUGUGUGAAAACGGGCUUUUGGUUUUUUUUUUGCAGUGGGCAACCGGAAAAUGAAAAUUCUUAAGUUUCGCUCUGAUAUCAAUUUGAUGCAGGGUGAAUAAUUCAAUAAAAAUAACAAGUAGAGAUGAGGGAGGAGGGAGAAGAAGAAGAACAGAGAUGGAGGGGAAAAGAGAGGAAAACGGCUAUAGCCAACUUUAUUAUUUAAUCAAAUUCAUCAACUCAAAAAUAACAAUGUAGAAUAGGUUUAAAUACUAGAAAUACUGCAAACCUAGGGCCAACCCCAAUACACAAGUCCAUAAAAAUGAAAUAAUCUAAGUCCAACUAAAAAAUAAAAGUUCAACUAAAAUAAUUAAAACUGAGAUAUCCUCAUCAGGAUCAACAGAAAGAGAAUGAGGGAACGAGGUAUCAGACAUAGUGGAAGCAAAUUUUUAUAAUUUUAAACGAAGCCAAGAAAUGGAUGGCGGUGGCUACUAUUCCUCAAAACAGUUGAGGACUGCAUUUCAGCAAAACUAGAUUUGAUAACCCCCCACCCACCACAGAAAUAAAAAGCUGAGAUAUAAAAGUUCGAUAUAAAUUUCAACACCUUAUGAAGAACACUUGCAGCUAGCUCUUCAGCUGUGUCAUUAGUAAGCACGGGAACUACCCUUUGAGCAAGGAUACGACCUGUGUCAUAAUGCUCUUCAACAUAAUGUUUUGUAGGACCAGAGUAUUAGUAUAAACAUCACAAGAGCAGAAAAAUAAGAUAGCUGGCUGAAGACUUUAUUUUAGUGACAGCUGAAAUCUUGAAUCUAUGUUCAUGUCUGAAGAAACACAAUAUCGAAGGCAGACAAGCAUGAUGAACAAGCUAAGCAUCCAUUACAAAGUUUGAGUAUGCAGGUUGCAUCCCAACGAUCAUUAACUCUAAAAAAAGAAAAAAAAAAUACGUGAUGUGAAAUUUGUGGAAGAGUAAAAAUUUUAAGUAGCAAUUUUAAUUUUUUGCUCAUAUAUAAAAAGUCUGCAACAGUAAGUUUGCUCUCUGUCAAUUCUGAUGGCAAGAGGAGAAAAAAUUAUGAACUGCAUCAUAAAAUCUAUAUAAACAAAUUCUAUUUGUCACUGCAAUGCACCUACCCCAAUGGUAAAACAAACAAAAUUCUUGGAGUAAAGAAGAAAAAGGAAGUAUUUUGAACAAUAUUAUAUUGCAAAUGAUUGCUUUUAUGGCCCAAUUAUCAAAGUUUUACCGUGCCUGUACGCCUGUCACCUAUAAUUAGGAAACUUGUGCACUCUCUAUGGCAAAUGCAGCCACAUUUACAACAAAUAAGUUUGCAGAAAUUUGAAAGAACACAAGACAAAUGAUAUGUUUUUGUCCCAGAAUAGGGCUAGAUGUUCAGUCUUUCGGCUUAAUCACGUGUUGAGCAUUUACCACGAGAUUACGUUAUAGAUCCACGAAUAUCAACAAAAAAUUAGUACAAAUGUAUGAAGAAUUCAAUUUCUUCAAGUUCUUUAUAGCCUCUGUAUUUUACAAAAUUGUAAUCAAAAAGCACUUUGCAAUCUCAAUGAUUGCGCAAAGCACUCAGUAACUCACAGAAAAAGAUUGCACUCACAUAAAAAUGGUUACAAAUUUACUCAAGAAAAACCUAUCACUCAAAUGAAGGAAGAGACGAAAGAACCAAGAAAACUCAAAAGUCUCACACCAAGUGAAUAAGAAAAGGCGAGAACAAGUAUAUAAAUGUCCAGCCGAAAAGUCACAGUCCAAGGGUCAUAAAGCAGCCACAUUGACAGCAGAUUUCACCCCUUAAAGUAGAGGCAAAAGUGUAAAACUCAGAAAAAACGAUUUUAUAAGGCUUCAAUUUUAACCUAACUUAAACAUCAGGCCCAACUUCAUAUGGCCCAUCCGGCCAAGAAUAAUAGUGAGGCAGCCCAAAGUUUAAACGAAAGGUAAAGGAAAAUCCAUAUAUAAGAAGUACAGAACAGGGAGAAUUUUGAAAGGAGUGAAGGAUGAAAUUUUGGAUUUUGGAUAAGCUCGGACCAACUCGGUAGGGAUAAGCUUGCGAUAACCAGCUAAAAGAAUGAUGUCAACUUUGUAUGACCUGUGUAAAUUAAGAAAGCACAAUCAGAAAGUUUUAAGGAUGCGGCACAUCAAGGAAUGCCAGAGACACUGGGCUAUAUGAGUUGGUGGAAAUGUGUGGUUAUGAUGUCGGAUGUUGAAAAUAGUUCACGCAGAUAAGCCUAGACAGGCAGGUAGAUUAAAAGGCUGCAAAUAUUACACAAUAGGUAAAAUGUAGCAAAAACUAGCUGAAAUACAAGGAAUUAAAGCAUCAGGUUACUUUCGAAUUCGGUGAAAAGUCAAAAUCAUAUUACUUUUGAAUUCGGUGAAAAGUCAAACUUCUAAUAUAUUAUUGAGAACAAAAUUCAUCAGUUUUUUUAUCAGUGUUUUGUUCUUUUGAUACUGAUUGCUGAAAUUCUAUGAAAUCAAAAGCAUAUGAUUCGAGGUAAUCUCAUUUACACUUUUGCUAAUAAUUCAAAUAUCACUUGCUAUAACCUUUAUGCUUUCUUGUCUCCUAUAUUUUCAGUCACGGGUCCCAAGAAAGUAAGAGAAGACAACCAAAGCACUAAAUACUCAUGAAAGAGAUGAUACUUCAAAUAUAUUAAUUACUUGCUUCUUUUAUUCUCAUCCAAAAAAACAUUAAACAUUAAUGCAUGAACCGAAAUAAUGCACAAUAUAAUAUCGGUGUGAGGACGUGACAGGCUGACCUAAGUGCAGCUAUAAGAACUUCUGUGGAUAAACCCUCAAUUGCAUCUUUAUUUUUAGGGAAAGAAUAACAGGGAUGCCCUUAACUCUUGCAUAUACAGCACCUCCACAAUCUACGAUUCCAAAAGAUUGAAGGAUGAAUACAUGUAGAAAUUAAACAUCAGUCUGUGCAAAAGAUAAAUUCAUUAUGCAAAUAUUUCAACGGUAGUCGUGAAGAUUUUCUCAGGAUGCUCUUAUCUUAGAAUAUUUAGCACCUUCGCAAUGUGCCAUUACAUAGGAUCACAUAAUAAAUACAAGUUGAGGACACAGAGGAGAACAAAAGUGUGUACCAAAUAUAAAUGCUUUCCAUAAAUUCUUCAAUGGUAGCAAUGUAUAAGAAUAAGCAAUUUCACAGAAUUUAGAAAAGAUGCUAUGCAGAAAUUCAAAUUAGAAGCUUAAACACUUUAAAACUCGAAGCUUAAAAAUUAGGGCUGGACAUGAUCCAGUUCAAUUCGGUUCUCAUUAGAACUGAACCGACCCGAAAUUUUUGAGUAUUUAGUAAGUGGAAUCGUCGGGUCCAAAUUUAAUUAUGGAACCGGUUGGGUCCGGUUCCAUUAGGUUCGAUUCUGUUCGGUCCGGUUCGAUUCGGUUCGGUUCCGAGAUUUCGUAUUAUAAUUAAAUUUUUUAAUAUAUACAAAGUUACAUUAACUUAAUUAAUAAUAUGUUCAAUCUUAACUCUUACAAAAUAAUAUAGUCCAAUCGUAUGUGUCAUUUAUGUCUCUCUAGUUUGAGUUCUUCAUAAAUUUGAUUAUUAAAAUUACAGGAAGAGAAAGAUAGCGAGCUCAAAAUAAUUAAGAGAGACGUUGUAGAAUUUUAAUUUGAUUUUCUCCAAUAGAAACAACACUACAGUAGAAUAACAGAUUUGGAUAACAUUGAGGUCAAUUUGAUUAGCCCCGUUUGAGCCCCAUUAUUCCUAGAUUAUAAUGAGAUGAAUAGUAUUUUUUUGAAAAAUGAGUGGUUGAAAAGUUUUUGAUUUACGUGUAAUAUUAUUUUAUUGAAGAUUGUGUGGUUAAAAGUAGGAGAGAGAAAAAUUUAAUUUAAUAUAAUGAGGAAUAAUGGGGGCCAAACACAUGCUAAAUUGACUUUGAAUUGAAAAUUAGAAAUAGGAAAAUCAUAUUGUUUGAACUAAAUUAACUAGUUAACAAAUUUAUUUAGAAAAAAUAAAAUAAUUUUGCUUAUUUAAAAUAAAUUAAUUAAAAAAAUUAGGGAGAAUCAGUUCUUCGGAUUUUGGCCUAGAACCGAGAAUCGAACCAUACUCGUCGAUUUUCGAUUCAAAUACCCGUUAGGGUAUUUAUCUUGAAAAGAACCGUCGGGUUCGGUUCGAUCAGUUUGGUUCGAGAGUUUUGUCCAACCCUACUAAAAAUUCAUAACAGAAAACCAUCUAUUUUCCAGAAUCUCCAAAAGAAUACGAUACAUCAAAAUUGAUUGAGUACACAUAUAAUUUCAACUUAGACAUUUAACAAUUUAGUAAAUAAAGUAAUUCAAACAGAAAAGAAACGAAGAAAAGAAUCUUCAACAAUGUAGUCCAUUUGACAAUUCACAUUAGCACCCAGACCAGAAUAAAAUAAUAAAAAAUCACAUAGUAAUAUGAAUGAAUUAAUCUAUUUGUACAAUGAAUUUUCACAAUGAGUUUGACAAAGUGUAAAGAUCCUAGCCAUUGAAUUCAAAAACAGUUUUUCAAAUCAAUGUCAACUCUCACAUUGUCAAAGUUGUUGUCAAAUUCAUUCUACAAGUAGCAUGAUUGAGUAUGAAUAGCAUACCGUAUUUAUUGGAGACCAAAACAACAAUAUCUCCAUGCUCGGAUCCAUUUAGAGCAGCCUCCACCCGAUAAAAAUACUGCAAGAUUUUCCUUAUAACUUUCGAUUUUUCACUAUCUUCUUCUAUAUCAGAAACCACUUUAUGUUUUGUUUUCAAUUUUAGAAUUCCUGCGCCGUAAAUUUGUCGAGGCGGGCAAAAUGCUAUACGGAGAAAAGGGAGAGUUUGUUAAUUGGUUUUCAACCAAACCCGCUUUGCGUAACAGAUUUUGGAUGAGAUAUAGGUGGAUGAUGUCAAAAAGGACGGGGGAUGGAUAGAACUGGUGAUCUUGAAAAAGGUCCAAAAGAAACCAGAUGCGCGACCCAAUUUUCCAAUUGGUUUUUGAGAUGAAAAAACAAGGUUUUGGGAGUGAUUUUUCAACCCCCGCCCCCUAUUUUUUGACAGUUAUUUCAUUAUUUCAGCCAUAAUUUUUGACUUUUUCUCUUAUAAGUGGCCUCCACUUUUUUUCUAACGGUAAAAAAAAUUAAUUCUCAAAAUUACUACCAAACAGGUUCUAAAUGAAUCUGACACUAGCUUUUCUUGACAACUUGGAUGAAGUGAAUAGAAAAUAUGGUUUUUGUAAUUAAAAGUGUAAAUAAAAGUGAAAAUGUAAAUAAAAAACUAAAUAAAUGUAUGAACGUUUUCAUAAUAACAAUGAAACGGAGGAAUAUUGUGUGUUAACUUUACUAAUUUAUUUGAGACUCAUUUGCACUUUUUCAACAUAUUUGUAAUCAUGGCUGCAAUUAAUUUUUUUUUCUUUAUUUAAAUAAAAUUAUAUAUUUGUCAUUUCACAACUUUCAAUUAAGAAGAUGAAAAUGACUCUUUGGGCAAUGAAAUGUCAAAAUAAUGAUGAAAAUGUUAAAAAACAAAAGAUGUGUACGUUUUACACAAUAAUAGUGAAAAAGAAAAACGUUAUGUGUUAUGUGCUAAUUAUCCUUUAAAUAAUGAAUAUUAAAAAUAUUUUUUUGAUAUAAAUUUUAAUAGGAUAUAUAUCAAUAUAUAAUUUUUUUAUUAAUUAUAUUUAUUAUUGGUUCGGCCCGAUUCAAUUCUUUAACCUUUAAUCCUUUCACGUUUUCAGAUUAUUAUUCAGUUCAAUUUUUAAAACAUUGAAAAAAUUCAAAAAUUUCCAGUGUAAGUCGUAGUUGCAGUUUGGGCGGGUUUAAGGUUUGAAUGAAGGAGAAGAAUAUUCAAUUUCUGGAUUUGGUGCAAAUGGUCGUUAACUUUUACCUUCGGUGCGUGAAUGGUCCCUAACAUUAGUUUAAUGUCAUCUACAUCCUUAACCUGUGUCUUUUAUGCGAAACUGGUUCAUUUGAGGGAAUUAAAAAAAUGUCUUCCCUUAAUUUUAAUUAUGGAAAUUACCUCUAUAUCAUCAACCUUUAAUUUUAAUUAUGGAAAUUACCUCUAUAUCAUCAACCUUUGAAAAAAGUGCAAAUGAAUUUCGCAUCUAUGGUCAGGUUGAUUUCAAAGUCUCGUAAUGAAUUGAAGAUAAGAAGUAGGGUUUAGUCUAGUAUAUCACCUCUUUAUCCUAGGCGAACUGCUUAGCAAAGCAAACAAUAGGUCAUAUUCGACACUCCUAUAUUAAUUGGUCAACGAAGAAAAACUUUCGAUACGCUUUAAUAGUGUAUAUACAUUUGGAUCAUUUUAAAACACUACAUUCACAGUGCUCAAAUGCUAAAUAGAUGGCAACCUAGCAUUUGAGAACACCAUGAUACUUCAAUGAAACAAAUUUUAAUUGUUUGGAAUGAAGUUGAACAUAGUGUUGAAUAAGUAUCAUAAAUUUUCAUAUAUCAAUGUCGUGUACGUGUCUUCAAGCCCCCAAUCUUCCGCAUAUCUUGCUCAUCCGACAUGGCAUGAAUUACCAACACCUAUGAAUAGAAUUUUUUUGAAAAUCGAGUGAUUCAUUUAGUGAAAGACAUUAACGGAAUAGUUAGAGAUACGGCAAGCAAAGAUCACAUAGCCUAAUUAAAUGCAAGUUGAAUAAGCUAUGACCAAUUGUUCUAUAACAUUCAAUAUUUGCAUGAGUCGAGGUGAAUAUAGAGUAUGUGAUGGAGGCACUGGCUUGGCAAUACUCAUGAAGCAACUUCCUAAAGCUGUAAUCAUUAAUCAUCACUGGAAUAAUUUAUUUUUCUUAAACACUCUAAUGCACCACAUUAAAAUCUCUGGACUCAUGUCGUGGUAAGAAAAGGAGGGCAAAGUAACUGUUUGAUUUUUAGAUGACUAAGUAGUUCGAGGUUGAUGUUUAAUACGAUGCCGAUAAACCCUGAUGCUUGCAUUGUACUCAGGUCAAAAAUGUCCAAGUGCAUAUAUGAUAAAGUUUAUGAUUGCUUUUAAAUUGGUCAAAAUUUAUUUUAAUCUAUAAGUUUUAUAGAUGUGGACAAAGGAAGAAUCCUAGUUAUUGGACUCGAUCCAAACAUUGAUCUCCCUAAGGCGCUGCUAGAUCGUCGAUCAUCGAUUGAAUCGAUGGAUCAAUGGUCAGAUUGAUGGAUCCCUGUUUAGAAAUUAUUUACAAAUUCUCGAAAUAUAAAAUUUUGAGGAAAAAAAUAAAGAUAUUCAGUUAUUGUUAUUCCUGCCAAAAUACUCAAGAAGAUGAGGGAUAUUUAGUGUUUUAUUUUGCCCCCUUCCUGUAUAGUUAAAAAUAAGAUUUUUAAUGGAUUAGAAGCUAAUGAAGAAUUGUGGAUCACAUGAAGCGUAUGUUUAAAAUUAAUUAUUGACUUUGACUUAAAUUUUAGAAAGAUAUUAAGCCGCACCAAUCAAGGGUUUAAAUCUUACUUGAUCAAUCAUUCAACAACUACAAUUUUCUUACUAAUUCCAUGCUAUUCAAAAACGUGAAAAAUGAGGAGGUUUGUAAAUAUCAAUCAAAUGAAAUGAAUCGGGGCUUUUGAGUCACCAAUCAAAUAGGUUCGUGACUAUCAAAUGAUGGAAUUGAACUUCAGUGUCGAGAAAAUUUCUUCAUUGAUCUAAUACUUGUUUGUUUCCCAUUUUUAUAGUAAGAAUGUAUUUUGAAAUAAUUUAUUGAUAAAUAAUGUGUGGUUAAGAAAUAAGGCAAAUUUUUAGUUUUGCGUGUAAUAUUAUUUUAUUAAAGAAUAUGUGGUUGAAAAGAAAAGAGAGAAAAAUGGGUAUCAAACAGUGGCUAAAUAACAAUAGGUCUUGUAAAAGGCUUCUUAUUUUAACACUUUUCGAUUACAGUUGUAAAUUGACUAUGCGAAAAUGUAGGGAGACAAUGGGGCUAGCUAGGACUGGAUAGCUAUCCCGAUCCCUCGUCCUGUAGAGAAAUUUUGCCACAUUGCCUCGCCUCCAUACCUGAUCGGGGUAGGGCAGGUCUCCCAUCCGUUUAUCGCAUAGUUUUUUGUUUUUUCAUGUUUCUAGUUGGUGAAAAUCAUUUAUUAUUAUUAUUAUUAUUAUUAUUAUUAUUAUUAUUAUUAUUAUUAUUAUUAUUAUUAUUAUUAUUAUUUAUCUAAUUUGUAUAGCAACACAUGUUAACUUUCUAAGGAUGAUGAUUAUUUAGUUUUUGUAUGAUAAAAAAUUUAUAUUUUGAAAUUGACUUUAAAUAAGACGACGAUUAUGUUUUCGACAUGUUUCCCAUCAUUGUUUGGGGAAACAACCGUACAAUCAAUUAGGUAGGGAAUCUCCUCUUUUUGGGAUGGAAUUCUGUGUGAUUUAACGAGUUAUUCUAUCACCUUGUGAAAAUGGAGUGGAUUUUUUUUCCAUAAAUCUAUUGAAACACAAUAUAAAAUAGAGAGAAAAUCCUCAGUAAAAUAUUAUCGUAUAAGAGAAUAUCUAAGAAACUCUUUAAAUAUGAGAUGCUAUCUAUUCUAAAGAGUUAACCUUUAAAAUCAUACUCCAAGAGACUUUUUAAAUUAACAUUUAAAUUUAUUCGAAAAGCUAAACUCACUCUCCAUAAAGUGUUCUAAUUUUCAAUGUGGAAAAAUAAUAAAAUAAUUUAGAGAAUAACUAUUUAAAAUAAAAGAAAAAGAAAAACAAUAAAUAUUUUUGAGAGUCGUAAAAUUAAGUGUUAAAUAUAAAGAGGUUCAUGCUUAUAUAUUUAUGAUGAUGAAUGAAUUUCAUGGCUUGGUGAUCAGUGAACAACAUAAACUCAUUCUAUACAAGGUAGUGUUCACAUUGCUUCAAAGCUCUUACAGCUGUAUAGAAUUCUUGCACAUAGAUACUUCACUUCUGCCUGGCAUUACUUAACUUUUCUAAAAAGAAAACCAUAGGUCUCUUCUCUCGAGAAAGGAUAGCCUCGAUAUCUAUACCACUAGAAUCACACUCCACCUCAAAAAUCUUCUCAAAGCUUGGCAAUGUUAAUAUUGGAGUUGUGCACAACUUUUCUUUGAUGAAUGCGAAGCUCUUAUCUUGUUCCUCUCUCCAAUUGAAUCUUCCCCUUCUUCAAACAUUCUGGAAGAGGUGCAACAAUAGUGCUAAAAUACCUGAUAAAUCGUCUAUAGAAAGUUGUUAAACCAUGAAAACUUCUUACUUCAGAAAAUUGACUUUGGUGUUGGCCAAUCUCAAAUUACUUUUGUCUUUUUUUCAUCGACAUGCAGAUCAUCUUCACCAACUACAAAACUUAGAAACAACAGCUUAUGUGUAUAUAAAGUGCAGUUCUUCAAAUUUAUGUACAACUGAUUUUGCUUCAAAACCUCUAAGACUUGCCUCGAGUGAACUGGAUGAUCCUCCUUAGACUUACUGUAAAUAAGUAUAUCAUCGAAAUAAACCACAACAAAGACCAAAUGACAGAGAAUUUGGUUCAUCAUCCUCAUAAAAGGUACUUGGAGUAUUUGAAAGUCUGAAUGGCAUCACCAACCAUUCAUCAAGUCUAUCUUUACUCUUGAAGGCAUCUUCCAUUUAUCCGUAGGUUUAACACGGAUUUGGUGAUAACUACCGCAAAGAUUUAUUUUUGUUAAGACCUUGAAACCUCCAAGUGUAUCUAACAUAUCCUCCAACCGUGGAAUGAGAAACCUGUACUUAUUAUUAUCUUGUUGAUGGCAUAACUGUCAACACACAUACGCCACUUUCCAUUCUUCUUUGGCACUAGAAGAACGGGCAUUGCACACAGAUUCAUACUCUCCUUUAUGAAUCUUUUCCUCAACGGCUCAUCAAUUUACUCGCUCAGAAUCUCAUUCUCCUUUGGACUCAUUCGAUAAUGAGGCAAAUUUAGAAAGCUAGCCCCAAGUACCAAAAUCAAUCUGUUGCUAAAUAUUCCUCAUUUGAGGAACCUCAUUCCAAAAUUCUUCAAAAGCCAAGUCUUCAAAUUUUGUCAAUAUUUAUUGCACUUCAUACAGAACACCCUCAUCUUCUUUAUUUGCAGUAAAAAGCCCCCUAAUUACAACUGGAUAAAAGCAAUCAGAUCCUUUCACGGACUCUGUAAUUUCCUCAUUAUUUGUGAGGGUAAGGAAACUCUCAGUUUAUUGAUUAGUAGACUUCUUCGCCUAUUCGAAAAAGAGCCAUAGCGAUCUUAUGACUGUCCCAUGAAAAGAGUACCACAUUAUCAUGCCCUUUGAGAGUUGAAUCUAUAUCAAAUUACCAUGAACGACCAAUAGGAUAUGACAAACAUCCAUGUCUAUGACAUCGCACAUAAUUUCAUCAUUAUAAUGUUUAUCAUUGGAAACAGGUACUUUCUAAGUUUCAGCAACUUUCACAUAACUCUUUUCACACAACCAAGUGAAUAAAGUUUAUGAUGGUUUUCAACUAAUAGUUUCAACAAAUUUACCAGCCUCUUCAACCCAAAGUUCUCACAACUUUCAUUGUCCACAAUCACUUUACACACUUUAUUCUUGAUAGAACAAAGUGAACGAAAGAUGCAAUGACAUUGUCCCUUCUCUUUAGGCGACAAAAUGAUUCGUUGCAGUACCAAAGUGAGUCUUUCUACUCAUUCCUUCAUAGCAAACUCUACUCUCGCAUACUUAUCUUCCACUUCAGUAUCUUCCUUUUCAUCCACCACCUUCGAUUCCACCAAAUUAACUUGCUUCCUCUCAUGACAGUUAUUGGAACAAUGCCUAGGUUUUUGGCAUCUAUAACAAAAUUUUCUCGUGGGCUUAGCAUAUGGAUUUGCAUUCUGAGGUGUGCUUCAAGUUUGACUUCUUUCCCAAAUCGACCAUCGUUGUCAACCUUACUCCUGUUAGGAUUGACUAGGACUUGUUGUGGGGCCUUUUCUUUAUCUGAAGGAGUGGAUGAUGAUGUUUCGACAGGUAAGGGCCUCCUAUCAGAUCAUCUCCGCUUUCAUCGACAUGUUAAUGAAUUCUUGCAAUGUCCAAAUAUUCUAAAAUCUAAUUCUAUUUUGAAUGGCCACCUUCAAACUACUGAUAUACUAGAUUACCCUUUGAUUUUCAAAUUUUCACAGAUUAUUCCGAUCCUUCAAUCGCAUAAAUUCAUUGGUGUAGUCUAACACUGUACGAUUGCUCUGUGUGCAUCCCAGGUACACACAAUAUAAAACUUGUUCAUAAUCUGAAGGUAAAAAUCGAUCCAUCAAAGAUUGUUUCAUCUUUCUUCAAGUUCGAAUCCGACUCUUUCUCUGUCUCAUUCGAGCAUUCUGUAAUUGAUUCUAUCAUACUGCUACCACAGAUUUUAAAUAGAAUUCCACUAUUUUAAUCAUCUUGUCUUCUAAAUCAUCCGAAUCUUUUAACAUCUACCAACCAUGUAACGCCCCAAAUUUUAUAAACGUUGAAGUGUUACGAAAAACUCAAUUUCCUUUAUAAUAAUUGUGGAACAAUUUUUCAAUAAAGAAAAUUCUUUAUUUCCAACCAUAAAUAUCAAGUUAAAAUAAACAAACGAGUUUUUGAAUAAAUAAAACUAACAAAUAAUUUGGAAACAUAAAAAAAAAACAAAUUAAAUGUUAAAUUUCUUUUUUCCUUUCUUCGAUUCACUUGGCAGUCCGUAUCAUCACCCUGCCACAAUUACAAUCGACCCGAACUAAUCUGUAAAAAUUUGUAAGAGUGAGUAUUAGAAAAAACCCAGUAAAAUAUGUGCAGUUUCCAUACACAGAUAUAUAACAAUAAAAUCUACAUUUCAUACCGCUCUGCUCUUAUGGAGUAUAUCGAAGACUAAACGACACACCCAUCUUAGGUCCUCUUAUAUCUCGUAGUAUCUCAUUUCUCUUUUUAUAGAAUACGAAGGUCCACUAGCAAUCCAUACAUAUUUAAUUGCAUAUUAAAGCAUAUAGAAAUGAAAACAAUUUGCGCAUAUAUAUCUUACCUCGUUUAUUUAAGAGUUGCAAAAUUGUUUCUUAUCUUUUAGUUCCCAAAAGUACCCAUCUCUCUCUCUCUCUCUCUUGGUGUGUAAGUUAUGGAAUCCAUGUAUAGUAUUUAUAGCAAUAAAAAAUGGUUAAGUUAUACUAAAAAACAUGUACCCUAUUGGAUAAAACCUAGUUUAGAUAUUUGAAUUAUAUUUUAAUAAUAAAUUCAUAAUUAUCCAAAUAGGAUACUAGCUAUCACAUUAAAUUCAAAAUAGGUUAAUAUUAAACUAAAAAUAAUAUUAAAAUUCAAUAUCCACCCACACGUUUUUGGAGAGAGAAAAUGAAUUGAAUUAUAACUUAAAUAAAGUUUUAUAUAUCCUCUUUUCUUUCAGUUGAGUCUAACUUAAUGUGUUCUUAUCCAAAAUAUCUUUUUCUCGAGUCAAAGACUUUUAAUUAAUUACAACCUAUAAAAUGAGUUCAAUAUCGAUAUACUAAAUCUCGCUCUAACAAUAUCUAAUUAUUUGGAUCAAAUAAAAUAGGAAUUUAAAACAUUUUUCAUUUUAGUCCUCAACUUAAAAAAAUGUAAAUAUAUAAUAUAUAAAAUAAAUAAAUUUUAUUCUAAAAUUUUUGAGGCAUUACAAACCGAUUCAAGAAGUCCUCGAUCUUCAUGUUUCCAAAAAACAGAGGAAUGUCUGCUUUAAUCCGAUAAUCAUCAAAGGUUUUUUUUUUUUUUUUUUAAUUUUGAUGAUUAGGAUUAUGCGACGGUACUUCAAACUCCUCAUCUGCCUCUGAUUCACUUUCUUUUUAUUCACGCCUCCUAUUACUUUCUCUUUAAACUACAGGCUCACUAUCUGUUUAUUGUUGAUUGCCCACUAUUCAUUCUGCCCAUUGUUUUCAGCACCCCAUAGAAUCAAUUGAUGAAUCUCUUCGAUCUGAGUAGUAAGAUCAUCAAUCCAUCGAUUUGUUGCUUCCAAACCUACCAUAGUAACCGGUACGUCACCCAUGUUUAUGAAUCCAAUAUAUAGAGAUGGGAAAGUCAACUCUGAUACCACUUGACGCAGUGCAAAAAAAGAAAUUUAAGCGAAAACCUUAAAAACACAAAAUUUGGAAUCCACCAAAGUAUAAAGAAAAUAAACUCACAAAUUUAUUAAUGAAUGAUAAUCAAAGCAAUGAAAUAACCCCUUAUUUAUAAGGGUUUACAUGAAAACGUAAUUUAAAAUAACUAAAAUUAAUAAAAACAAAGUUUAAACAAACUAAAAUUAAAAAGAAUCCAAAAUGAACUAAAUAACAGAAAUAGCACAAAAAGUUACAAAAUUAAUUUUCGAGUCAUAAACAAACUCGAAUGACCAAAAUCCAUCGUAUAUCAUAACGUAGCUAUGAGUAUUGCUCGUCUUGUCGUCUUCUUUUUAGAAUAGUUUUAUGAGCCCAAUUCAAAACUCGGAUGUUUUCUCUCUACUAUUACCUUCUCCCCAUUUUUAUUCAAUUAUUUUUCUACAGGAAAAUUGCAGUAGGGGUACCAAACCUUUCGUUUAUUAGCAGAUUUUAUCCAAACCUUUAGUUUGUGCCACCAUGAGUAUCAAACCUUUGAAAAACUCGCACCUAGAGUCCAAAUAGAUGAUUUAUGUUAAUUUAACUAUUAGUUGACGUUAAUUUAACUAUUCGUUGACUCAAGAAAUUGAUUUUCACCAAUUUUUAAGGGGGUAGAAUGGUAACUUUGAAAUAAAAAUAAAACAAAACAUAAACUCUAGGGGAAUGGGCGUUUUAGGGCGGGAUCUAAAAGCUCUCCAACGUGUUGCGGAGCCUUCGGCCGUGAGAGGGUCUUUUGGCUUCCUCAGGGCCGUGUGAAGCUUAACUUGCUUUAGCAGCCAUGUGAUGAUUCAAGUUCGUGGUAGCCAUAGUAGCUGGGCGAAGCGGUAGUGAAGCUCAGGUGGUAAUGCAAGUGCGCGGUGAGCGUAGUAGCCCCCUCGGGCAUGCUCUUUGUCCGAGACAACUACUCUUUAAAGGCAGUGUUCUGCAUCAACAAGAGCAGGCACAUGGGCAGAGACUAAACCUCUUUCCUUUGGCUCGAAUCCUAGCUUUCCCCCUUUCGACUAAAAAACCUUUGGCCUGACUCAUCCCCCCUCCUGUCCCCCUCGGGGGGAGGAGCUAAGGAACUGCCCCUUAUUCAAUUCAAUAGGAUUGAAUUGAGGGGCAGGAGAGCUACAGCGAAGGGCUUCCCCGUACUCCAUUCCAUCGGAUGGAAUGCGGGGAAGGAUGAAGCGGUACUGGCCCUUACUCAAUUCAUACUGAAUUGCGGGCCAGAGAGGAAAGGAACCGAGCCUGUCUCCAUUCCUUCCUUUGGUCGGAAUGGUCGGCUCAGGAGGAGCAGCUAAGGAACUGCCCCUUAUUCAAUUCAAGGGGGAUCCUCCGUAUCUCCUUCUUCUUUCCGUGUCCGCCCUCGCGGGACAACAAAGAAAAAAUCCAGCUCUUCUCCUUCUGAAGGGCCGAACCCCCGGAGUCUGAAAAAAAAAUCCCUUGUCCUAAGAACCAAAUUCCCCCGUAUGGAGCCACCUUCUUCACCCCGGCAUCCCUACUUCCUUAUUUCUAGAUCUACGGCACUGGGACAGCUAGUUGAAGACACAUCUUAUAGCUGGGCGNNNNUAAGAAAAAAAAACUUUUUGGGGGGGGGGGGGGGGGGGAGAUAUAUAUGAGGGAUAUAUCUCCUGAGGAAAAUCACUACUAAAAUAUCAUGGGCUUACGAAUUCAAGUGUAACUACGUUUUCAGGAAGUAGCUUUCCAACUCUUGUCCAGUAACCAUUCUGAGUGGGGAUCAAUAAAAAGAGAAAAGUCAGUCCACCCCUACCCCAAAAAAUAAAAAGUACCUUUCAUCACCCCUAUCCCUCCACCCUAAAUUAACGCACCCCAUAUUCAUCAUCCCUUCCAAAUCAAAGAGAUAUACUAAGUAGUAUUUUAGCUCUCACAAACCAAGUAAGGAAAGGCCCACUUCGACCACCGGUGAAUCACAAUGGAUGGAAGAACAAUAUUUUGGUUGCCAAUUGCAAUUGACGGAACAGUCAACUCACUUCUUCAAGGAUCGAAUUACGAGGUAAUUGAGCAGCAACUGGAUCAAUUAAUUGUGUACCCACAGUCGUUUGAGUAUGAAUAUGAGUUCUCGUAGGUGAAUUUGUGGAUUGAACAAUGAGAAAACCAUCAGUUGGAUUGGAUAUAAGUGCCCUUAUUCGCACGCAUUGGAUGUAAAAUCCCAAAAAAUACAUUGAUGUUUUGGCCCUAUUUUGUUGAAUCAUCACUAUCAUAUUGAGUGUCUGUGGUGUACAUGUCUACUGGUGGUGGUCUAAAAUGGUGGGUGUGGCCGUAAGGUGUGUUUCCGCCACCAUAUAUUACAUUGACUUGGAAAUUCUUGAUGGGAAUGAAAUGGUUUCUUAAUUGGUUUGAUAAUGGUUUGUGAUUUGGGAUGAUGAAAUUGAUGAUAAGAUGAGUUUUGUAGUGGAAGCGGCUGGCGACGGGACGUGACGACGAUAAUGACGGCGAUUGUGGUGUUGGAUUAAGUUGGGAUCGGGUAUCAAGGAGAUGGUGAACAAUGGGGGUGGGAAAGAGAAGAUGAACAUUUAUAUGCUUUUGUUUUUUGUUUUUCUUGUUUUUUGUUUUUAAGUUUAAUUCAAAGUUACAAUUUUACCCUUUUUAAAAUUGGUCAAAGUCAAUUUAUUGGGUCAUCUAACGGUCAAACAGACGAAAACCGUCAUUUUAGUCUUGAGCUGCAUAUUUUUUAAACGUUUGGUACUCACGGUGAUACAAACUAAAAGUUUGGACAAAGUUUGCUAAUAAACGAAAUAUUUGGUACCGCUGCUGCAAUUUUCCCUUUUUCUAUCUAUUAGGUUGUUGGAAUAUAUUCUUUAAAAAUGGAAAAGUCUCUUGGUCCACGGCCAGGAUCCAGGCUAAUUUCAUACCGUAGGUGGACCGCGUAACAGCUAAUCAUUGCCAAAAACGCUUACCGAAUCACGCAUGCGGCAUGGCGAGACACGGGGCACAAUAUUUCCAUACCACCAAUCGCCAUAACCGCCGCCGUGUUCCGCCACCUUCUCGGCAAAUCCACCACCGCAGAAUUUCUCGAAAAUAUGGAUGGAGUGGGAGCUAGGCUCGGGCGGUCCUCGGCUCGAUACGCUCCUGCCACGAUUUUCACCGGGCCCGUUCGGAAAUGGAAGAAGAAGUGGAUCCAUGUAGCCCCUUCCAAUUCCAAUCAAACGGAAGCUAAUGGAAAAGUUAACGGCGUCAAUGUCUCUUCACGUCUCUUGCUUUACAAAUGGACUCCGAUCACUCCCAGCCAAAACAAAGAGAAUAACGGAAAUGACGGGAACCCUGACAUUAGAGACGAUGACGUUACAGUGGAAGAGCCACCCAAGCGUAAAUUUAAGUACAUUCCGGUACUUAUCUCUAUUUUUAUUUCUUCUUGAUUUAAGUUCAAUUUCCUUCGCGAUUAGAUUAUAGAUAAAAUGUAUGUAUUUGUAUGCGGUGGUGGGUUGGGUAUGGAUGUGGCGCCUGGAGUGUUGAAUUUAAGUGAGGAUUGAAUUGUUUGUAUAUAAAAUUAUUGGUAAUAUUUAUUUUUAAACGGUGCACUGUGGUUUUGGGUUCUUGAACUGGAUUAAAAGUGAAUGGCGGUGCACGGUUUUAUUUUCAAAUUAGAAUCUGGGAAUUCUGGAAUUGAAAGAUCAUGACAGUUGCCCGGGAUGGAAGGUUUAAUAUCUGUUCUUCGCAUACGCCAUUUGGUAAUCUCUGAGGGUAAUUUUUGGAAACUUUCUGGAGUGGGCUUGGGGAAGCAAAACCUGAUUUUCUUCAGGUCUAAUUAAAAAUUUGAACUUCUAGAAGGGAUUGAUAGUUUUUGGAUACUGAUGGGGGAAUGUAAAAUUAGCCCUUUUUUCUUCCAGUUAGUGUUAAUCUUGACGGUGAAGUCGCAAAUAAAAUUAAACUUAAAGAGAACAUAAUAGUAAAGUUAGAAGGCUUUGAUUGUAGCACAACAUUCUUGUAAUUGGUUUUUGGGAUAUUCGACUCUGGGACGUAUAUAUCAAGGAAUCCAGUGUUUGAAAUUUGAGAUAAUUUUUUGUGUUAGAAGAUAUUGGUUCAAAAUGGCAAAGGAAUCAAAUUUUAUUGUUUUAAAUAAUAAUGAAUGGGAUACACCUAGAGGCUAUAAACAAUAUGAAUUAUGAAAUACACAUUUUGGUGUGUGCAUCUGUGUCUUCAAAUGUGUGUGUACCAUGCUUCAUGCAUGUAUGGAAAGCCUCAGUUUUACUGAUUUUUUUUUUUUAUUAUUAUUAUUAUUUUCACUCCAAUUCAAGGACACCUAAUUCUAUAUCUUCUUGUAUUUUUUCUUUGAAUAGAAUUCUUAGUCCGUAAAGGAAACUACAGAUUGUAAAAAUGGAAUGCAACACCCCCCCCCCCCCCCCCCCCCCCCCCCCCCCCCCCCCCCCCCNNNNNNNNNNNNNNNNNNNNNNNNNNNNNNNNNNNNNNNNNNNNNNNNNNNNNNNNNNNNNNNNNNNNNNNNNNNNNNNNNNNNNNNNNNNNNNNNNNNCCACCAAUCCCCUUUCCCCACAACGAGUGGGAAAGGUAUUCUCUUUCACAACUCCAUAAAAGCACAAAAUGAGUUUUUUCGUUUUACUGAAAGCUUAUAUAGUGUGGUUGUCUAUCCUGGUUUGUAUUAGCAAGUGGGCCAUUCUGGACAUUUGGCUAUCAAAUAUUGACUUAAUAUUUAUAGAAAAGGAACAACUUUAAUUGAAGCAGUGAAACUGCAACUUAUGUUUGACAUCAUUGCGUAAUGGAUUUUCUUUAUCCAAUAUGGAAGCACACUUUUUUGCUUAUUUGUCUUGAUCUCAAGUCAUUACCGUUGGAAUUGUUGAAGGAUCAUUAAAAAUAUGCCUUUUGGUGAGCAUAUGAACAUGCUUCAUCUUUUUACCUUCAAUGUUUUUUCAUAGAACCUGGCAUAUAAAUAUGUUUCCUUGAAUGUAUGAACAGUUCUGAGAUUUGUUUGCAUUUAUGUACCUCUUCUUUGAAUUUGAUCUUAUUUAAUUAUUUCAAAUGCACAAACCUAGAACUGCUCAAAUAAAUAAAAGGGGGAAACGAAGUGAGAGAGAAAUAAUGAUAAGAGAAGCAAUGAAUAUAGUUAAUGUUGAAGCCUAUGCCACUUGUACGCUUUAAGAAGAGAAGUGGUGUAAUACAUUUGUAUGUGUUAAUCUAAUAUCUGAUGUCAUCAGGCAAUUGCUCAGACCUGAAUGUAUGCCCAAUUGUGUUUGGUUUCCAUUACUCUCUAGACGCCUUUAGUUUAGGCUCUGUUUGAUCCAUAUUAUUUGAAAAAAAUAUAUUCUUAAACAGUAAUUUGAUAUCAUUUCAACCACAUAUUCUUCCAUAAAAUAAUAUUACACGCAAAUCUAAAACUUUUUCUUAUUUUUUAACCACAUAUUUUCCAUCAAUACGCCAUUCAAAAUUUCAGUUCUAUGAAAAUAAUGUGGCUCAAACAAGGGCUUAAUCAGAUUUUGCUCAUGUUAAAUGGGAUCUUCUCGGGUGUGUCAUUAUUUUCCCAUCUUCAUGAUUUGUUUGUAAUCUCCUUAUCUUUUGUUUUCUCCUAUCUUUCUUUGUAUCUUUCAUCUUUCGUGCUGCACUGGAUUUUAUUGAUCUCCAUGCUAAAUUAGCCCAGAGGCAGUUGGAAGCUAAUUACGAGAUUGUUUGUACAUAUCUGACCAACAUUACCCACUGACCCUACUUCAGUACGCUUCAAUGAAUUUCUGCUGUUGGGGAUCAUUAUUAUAUUCAUGGAUCAGCUUGAAUUUUACAAAUCCAAAGGCAUUACCAUUUUCUUUGACUUGGUAUAAUUUUUAUUGUUGAAUAGUGAGAUUUUUAAGAAUUGAUAUUUUAAGAUAUAUACCAUGCAGUAGUUAUUGGACACAUACAAAGUUCUAAUAUACUCCAGCUGUAUUUAGGAAGCCUCAGAAAAUCAUUAAAGUUCCAUGUAAUGUAUUAUUGUAUUGUGAUUCUGCGGAGGACAAUUACAUAGAUUCCACUUAUUAUGUAAUGUUUCAUCCUGUGUUUUUGGAGAUCAAAAUAGAUUGCUGUGUUGGAAGAACAAGCAAAUGAGUCCUCGGAUCAGUUAGAGGAUGAAGCUAAUCCAAUUGCGAAUGAUUCAAAUACAGUGGAAGCAACAUCCAAGACUGAUAGGCAUGAUGAAAAGCCUGAUAUCAAUGAUGUACCAAUGGAUGAUACUCAGGUGAUUAACUUACAGAUCGCAUGCGUGUUUUGCAAUUCAUGGGUUUUCAAUUUCUUGAUGGAUCUUCCUUCAGUGACCACACUGUACUUAUAACUGACAAUUCCCAUAAUAUCCUGUAUACUUUCAUGUAGAGGACAAAUUAUCUUUGAGCCAACCACAAAUUUUUUAGGAACAAGUCUUAGAUAUGUUUCACUAAGCUUAAAAAAAUGCAAAAGUGUGUUCCUAAACAUGUUUGAAAUGUCAUUUUUUUCUUACUUUUAGUAAAAUAACAGUUACAUAUUUGGAAGUUAAUCUUACCUUAUAAAUAAGCCGAAAGCGGAGACGAUGAAGAUGAAAUAAAUAAGUCUCUCGCUGCUAGACUCCUUCUUUAUGAACGGGAAAUGAACUGUUUACUGGUGAGAAGGAUGAUUAUCCAUCUUCAUCACAAUUGAAAGGAGAGUUCAAAACAGGGAUUCUUGGAUAAAAGACAUGUGGAUUCAUUAGUCAAGGGUAUGUGUUUAGACCAGUUUUUCCUAUCACAGUCCGAGUAAAAGUCAAGUGAAAACAAGGGAUCGCUCAAGGGCUCGGAGUGAAUCUGGCAGGUUACCUUUAUUUCUAGUCAGUCAUCCCUUCUAAAGAUUUUCUGAUAACCAAUAAACUGCGAUUAAUUUAGAAUGAACUCAUUUAUACAAACUUUUUAAGCAUAGCCAAACAGGUUCUUAGCUUGUUGACAAAUCUCUUUUUAUCAGCAGUUUUUCCUUCUUUCUUUAAGAAAUUGUCAGCAGAGUUGGAAAAUUUUCAGUUUACAAGUGUUCCUUCUCUUGGAUUUUAUCUGCUUUACUCACCACCAGAUCCGGGUUUAAGACCUUAUUUUUGACCUAAGUGGUCUUUGGGAAAGAAAUUGAGUACUUGUUGAUUGUUAAAUGAGCAUUAUUGCCUUCUUCACUAGAUCAUUAAUUUCAUUAGUCUCUCUAGAUGGCUAUUUGUGUAGGAGCUCGAAUGCACUUUAUAUAUGAAAUUUUCAGUUGAAUGCAUAUGUUUCAGGCCCCAGAGGAAAAUCAUGUGGAAAGUAGAGAUCUGAAUGUAACACCAUUGGACUUGAGUUUAGGGUUGAAGGCUAGUGAUGGUGAAAAUGAAUCCAACUCAAGAACGGAUUAAUUAAUCAGAGGGAUAUUGCAAAAUUCCAGCAAUAUUGGACGUGAAGAUGAGCCAAAUGUUAUUCUAUCCUCACAAAGAAACACUGUUCUCCAUCGGCUUGUUACAUAAAUGAGCAAAUUUGAUUUGAUACUUCAUUUAUUGUUGUGAUUGCAAUUUGUAUCGAUUCUGUGUCAGUUGCAAUCAAUAUUUUUCUUUUACUAUUGGUACAAUCAAAGUUUCCAUGAUGUAGUUGGAUUUUUGCACUGACCAAUGUUGAAUGAAAUUUACACCGUAUUGGUUUGGCUUUAUUAACUAUUUAUCUUGAGCUAUGUAACUAAGCCCUUGUUUUGAGCCACAUUAUUAGAAUGAAAAUACAUUUUUGAAUAGUACAUUGUUGAAAAAUGCAUGAUUAAAAAAUAAGAAAAUAUUUUGAAUUUGCGUGUAAUAUUAUUUUAUUAAAGAAUGUGUGGUUGAAAUGAUGUCAAAUUACUAUUGAAUAAUGUAUUUUUUUCAAAUAAUGUGGCUCAAACAAAGCCUAAAUCCAUAUUAACCAACAAGAAAUUUGAAAAAUUGGACUGAAAACUAGUUUAGGUGUCUCUGCUAGAUUGGUUUGCAAAUGAACCGAUUAAAGCCCUUAAAAUUCUCUUGAUUUUUGUGAGAAUUGAUGGUCCAAUUGCAAUAAAAUGUUUUGUAACUAGGAUUUUACUACUUGUACAUAAAGAUGGUACGUAAAUGCUUACCGAAAAUGAUGUGAAGGGAAAUGAUUGGAUGCAAAAGUUGAUUAUAUUUUAAACUGACAAAUGGUAAAAUAUCAUGCGGACAUUAUUCAAUUACUAUAAGGCCAGGGAAAAUGAACUGAAAUUAGCUAUUUGGGUUGUGUUGAUUGCAAGAUAAGGUGCAAUUAUGAUUGUAGAGAUAUCUACUCUCUAGCUUAGCUCAUUGGGGGGCUGUUGUUUGCUCACCACUGGGAGAUGGAACCAUAUCCAAUCAAUGGGGCUGUUUGGUUCUUGAAGAUUGUUAACAUUUUGGCGAACUCUUGGCUUUGUUAGAUUAACCAGACCAAAAAAUGCAAUAGACAAGAUCUUAGCGUUCUGGAAAAUGCUUCUCUGCUAGAAAAAUGGCUGAUAGAGGGCGUGACACCCUCUCACAACCGUCCGGCCCUGCAUGAAUAAACAAUUGGGAGGAAGAAGUGGUCCCACCCCCAAAUGUGUGUGUAAGUUAGCCCUUCUGUCAUGUAUUUUGUGACAGAGGAGCAUGGUCCUAGCGUUCUUUUCUUUCUUGAUAAUGUUCAGACAUAUCCAAUCCACUCUUGCGUGUUGAUGAAAAAUUUCUUGGUUCCCACGUCCUAGGCACUUGGAAAUCGGCCAACUAAAAGCCUAUUUGGGAGUGAUUUUGAGAAUUGAUUUUUUGAUCGUUAGGAGAAAAGUGUGUCCAUCUAUGAGAGAAGAAGUCAAAUAUAACGGCUGAAAUAAUGAAAUAACGGUCAAAAAAUCAAUUUUUUGGGUGAACUCCCAAACAGGCCCUAAGUACUCGGGUAAUUCUAUUUGGGAUUUUGGACCAAGCAUUUUGCUUCAGACAAUCAAGGAUUGUUGUGUAAUAUCGUCACAGAUGUUCAAUCUAUGAAAUUUUGGUUUAUGGUUUAUCGUGGCAAAACCCUAAAAUUCUUACAGCAUCAGAAUUUAUAGCUACACGCUUACUGGCUCGGCCUCCAAACCAUAUGUGGUAUGAGGCUUAGUGAUUUUGGCAUUGAAAUUUAUGACUCGUUUUGGAAGUCCAACCGGAUUGAUCAGUUUGACGAGAAAAACUGGAAAUUCAUCGAAAAUGAAAGUCAUUUAUAAUAAUUAAAAAAUAAAAAAAUCAGCCAACUCUUUUGAAAUUUUACUUUUUUCCAUUUUUAAUGUUAUUUAAUCAGUUUGAUUCCAAUUUAACAUUCAACUCUUUAUCCUUUACUGGCCGAUGCUAAUGUUGUGGGUUUUCCAAAUAUUGAUAUUAAUUAAUGCGAAAAAAAUCAUAAAUCAAGUAUUAAUUAUUAAGUAUGCAUCAAAUUAAUUUUCAAACAUUAAGCCCCUGUUUGUUUCCUAUUAAUUGGCUAUUAAAAUGAAAAUAUAUGACCGUUAUCUAUCAUAUCAAGCUGUAGAAAACAACAAACCAAAGAUGAAGAAUGAAGGAGAAAGAGAGAAAAUCGAUUGAUAGCAGCCUCCAAACUUGGGUGCAUAAUGUAAGAUUACAAUGGUUUAUAUAGUACAAAACUAAGGAAACAUAAUAAGAUUAAACUACCCUUAACCUAAUUAACUUAUUACAUUAACAUCCCCCUCAAACUCACGAUGCUACGACAAGGAGCAACGAGAGUUUGACCAACAAAAAGCGUAAAUGAUAAAUCAAAUUUGACUUCGUGGCAAAAUCUACAAGCUGCAGCAAUGGAGAGCAACGAAAGGUAGGAAAAUGAUGCCGAACUGCAGAUAACCAACAAAACCACAUAAUCUCAACUAAACCAAACGGAUGCAAAUUUCAAAUUCCAAAUUGAACUUGCUAUACCAAUUCCAAGAACUGACUAUGCCAAAUUCCAAGCUCCAGAUAGACUGGACAAAUAUCAAACGAAAUUUCUAAUCCAGUGAACCGGAAAAACAAACGAAAUUUCCAAAUCCUGUGAACCGGGCAUCAAACGAAAUUUACAUCCUGAACUGAGCACCAAACCAAAUUUUCAAUCCCACGAACUGGGUACAAAACCAAAUUCAAGCUCAACAAAUGCCAAAUUUAAGGCACCCACAACUAACAACACAUCCCCAUCUUCAGCAACUCAUCAAACAAGGCCCAACAAUAUGCAACAAAUAUUACCCAAAAUCAGCCCAUACAUAAUCAUCUUCCAUAAUGCCAUAAUGUGGAAAACUCCAAUUAAUCUGCUUUUUUUUCGAAGAGACUUCUCCAGCAGGCCUAUCUAAUUAGAGUCCAACCCUUUUUUUUUUUUUUUUUUAAACUCAAAUGCACAAAUUGAAAUCCCAAAAUAUAAGGCCCAAAUCCAACAUUACCAAACUACUGGCAAUCCACAGCCCACAACUUAAGCCUAAUUCAGCAGACCCAUCAAACAUUUCAAACCCACUUACUCAAAAAUUAAAGUACUAGUCCAACUAAAAAAAACUAACCCAGCAGGCCCAACACAACAAAUCCAAGCCAACUUGAACCAACUGGCCCAAUUUCAACAUACUCCAAGACCCAAAACCAAUCUACAGCCUAUAACCCACGAAACCAAACUUGGCCCAAUUUCCUCCAACUUCAUCUUCUCCAGCGCUGCGGCUGCGACUGACUCUCGUCGACACCAACACACAUCCAACAUUACCAAUCUCCUACAACAACAAUACUCAACCAUAAACAAACGUCAACCACUAGCCGACCAGCAUUCAUCACAACAACCCAUCAGUAAAACUUUACUGAUACAGCCCAAGUCGAUUCCGAAACACUGCUGUCAAACCAUGAUCGGCCACCAACUGAACUGAAGUUCAAAUCUGACCAAAAGCUUCCAAAAUUAUGGCCGAACCUAAGCACAGUCCCAUAAGAAUCCAACUUGAAUCGAAGAAGAAGACCAAACCUCAAAUGUUCAGAAAACCAAUCUGACCAGUAACCUGCCUUGCCAAACUGAGUUGGAAAACACAAUCCAAAUUCCAAACAACCCCAACGGUGACCAACCAAACACUAACACCAAAGAAAGAAAAUCGAACCUGUUGAAAUAAAAAAUCAGAACCCUGGUCACCUGAAGUAGUUGAGAUCAGAAAUUCAAACCACCUUUAACUCAUCAAGCAACAAACAGAACAUUCUCCUUAUUCUCAUCACCAAUAUCACUCUCAAUUCUAUCACCAAGAACCAUAGCAGCACUUACCACAACAGUAAAAUUCUCAAAAGUUUAAUCCAAGAUUAAACCUGCUCUGAUACCAUGUAGAAAACAACAAACCAAAGAUGAAGAAUGGAGGAGAAAGAGAGAAAACUGAUUGAUAGCAGCCUCCAAACUUGGGUACAUAAUGUAAGAUUACAAUGGUUUAUAUAGUACAAAACUAAGGAAACACAAUAAGACUAAACUACCCUUAACCUAAUUAACUUAUUACAUUAACACAAGUCACCAUAUUUGAAUUUCUAUAUCUUGUAUGGGGUUCGUAACGACUAUAUUUUUCAUUCUCAUUCUUACAUUAAUAGAAAACAAACAGGGUGUGAGUUUUAAAAUGUAAGUGUCAUGUGCCAAUUCUGUUUUAAUUUUAAAUAAUAAUAUUAUUAAAUUAAAUUAAUCUAUCUACCUCACCCUUGUGCACCCGCCCUCCACAAUCCCUUCUUAUAAUUGUUGGCACCCACCUGUCGAUAUCCCCCUUCGUCAACUUCUUCAAUGGCAAAUGAGCAUUGCCGACUGAGAUAGUAGAGGUAGACGGAGAAAUAUAGUGGCCGUUAGAGAAUACUAACUGAGCAUCGGCGGCCAGUUCAUCACGCAACAACGAAUAAGCAUCGUCCGCUCAAAUAAUAGAGAUAGAGGAAGAAACAUAGCGAUCAUUGGAUAAUACCGACUCAGCAUCGUCGGCAACUGAUCAUCUUCAUCUACGACUCAGCAGUGCUGGUAUAAUUUAAAAUGCAUGUGACCAAAAUUCUUGAAUUUGUGACCUAUGCACAUAUGUCUGUAACCUGAUCAAAUGGACAAUGACUAAAUCUCUUGGAUCUGUGAUAUGUGACCUAAGCGAAUGGUCUGUGACCAAAUUUCUUGGAUCCAUGACCUAUAAUUUUAUGCUCUUAACAUGUGACUUAUGAUUUGAUUGUGAAUUAAUCUCCCGGGUCUGUGAUCAAAUCUAUUGAAUCUAUGACUUAUGUACUUUGACAUGUGCUCUAUUGUAUGUGAUCGUGAUUGUGACCUGAUCGAAUGGUAGGUGACCAAAUAUCUUGGAUUUGUGAUAUGUGACCUAAUCUAAUGGCCUGUGACCCAAUCUCUUAAAUUUAUGACCAGUGGCACUCGUAAUUUGAUAGGUCAUGGAUUCAAUAGAUUUGGUUAUAGAAACUCUAUCGGCUAGGAAUGCAAAAAUCCCGGCAUCCACAACUCCAUCUACAGCUGAAACUCAAUCGGUUAGCCAGAUCACCACCAUUACUCCCAUCUUGACAACUCUCCCUAUUCCUGAAACUCAAACAGAUGAAAAGGCAACCAACCCUACUACCGACACGAUUUCCACAACUCUACCUACUAUUGAAACUCAAGCGGAUAGGCAAGCAACCAAACCUACCUCCAAUACCAUGCCCAUAAUUCCACCCACUACAAAAACUCAAAUAGUUGGGCAGGUCGCCACCUCCUCUUCUACCAUUCACACCCUCACCAUUCUACUUACGGAUGAAACCCAAACUCAAACGCCUAGACAAUCAAACACAAACUCAACCCCUGUUGCCAGUGAAGCCUAAGUGGCUAACCAGCCUAAUGCCACUUCAAUUGGCCCUAAAAGCUCGAACAUCGCCUGUAGCGGCUCUAUAAUGGUGAAUAACUCAUUGGCACCGCCUCUGUAGUGGUGCUGAAAGUAUGGAUUUGGUAGAGAGAGAGAGGAGUAUGGAGUAUUGAGAGGAUAGAUGAGAAGAAAUGAUUUAGGGAUUGAAAUUGAAAUCAUAGGGAUACCACUAUGGGUAUGGAUGGAGUAUUAUUAUUUACUAUUAAAACAUUGGUUUAUCACCUGAUUUGUGAUAAUUUAAUCUUAUUCCUAAUUUUAGUACAAUGAUCUUUAAAAUCAAGCCACUUAAUUAAUAAAUGUUUGUAAUAAGACUAUGGGCUUGUAAAACCAAAUUCGGAUGGACCUUUAAUGUAGUUAGCCCUUGUUUAUAACCAUUAAAAAGAAAAUUUAGGGAAAAAUUGAUUUUGAAAUAGUGAUUUUUUGAAAAAUGUAUGAUUAAAAGUAUGAAAAAGUUUUAAACUUACGUGCAUAAUAUUUUUAUUAUGAAUGUAUGAUUGAACAUGAGUUUGAGGAAAAAUAAUUCAUAAAAAUGGUAGUAAAAUAGUGGCUUAGUAUACUUCUCGAAUAGUUGGCCCAUAAAUUUCUCUCGUGCUACAUAGGAUGGUUACUUGUGACUAUAAAUAUCAUUGAUUUUCAUCUAAAUAAAAUGUCACAAUAUUUAUUAAAUCAAACUUCUUAUUAUUUAGCCCCCAUUUAUUUUUCAUUUUUGGAAGAAUGAGAAUGAAAAUGUAGUCGUUACGGGCCCCACAUAAGAGAUAGAAAUUCACAUUUGGUGGCUUGACUUGAUGAAUAACGGUCAUAUUUUUCAUUUUAAUGAGAAAAUAAUGAAAACCAAACAUGGGUUAAGAAUAGCUAUUAUACUAGUGCUAGUACUGAGAAGGUGAUAUGGUAAAAAGUUUCGCGGUAGGUUCCAUCACAUCAUAUAGCACACUGUUUAACCAAUCAAAUUCCACCCCUUUCUCUAGUAGUGAGAACUGCGAGACUGGGAGCAAUCCAUUUCCAAUAGCGAGGUGCCUAUUGAAAUCCAAGGCCCAUGUGACCCUGGAUGAAGAGCUAAAUCCUUGGAUUGAGAUACAUGUACAGUUUGCUACAACCUCCUUACAUGUAAAGGGGGGGCCUCGAGCUCAAAAAAAUAAAAAAAUAAUAAAAAUAAAUUUGAUGGCCCCCCUGUAGUGAGGGGGCUGUCAUCCAAGUUGUGAUGAGUUCGGAUGUACAAACAUCAAUUUCCUAAAUACUUAGUGAUGAGCUUGGAAAAAGCUCUGCAUUGCACUCGAUCGUUUCCCAAAUGCCUAAACAAGUCCCCCAUUAUCCAUCGCCAACUUAUAUGCAUUGUCUCAAGUUCUCAACAAACAUCGUUAGAAGUCAUCCAACUUAAAGAUAUGUUCAUGUUGGUAGCUCAACUUCAAUUUCUUCAAUUUGAUAUAUUCUUUAUUUGAACAUUCUAUCUGGAAUAUCGACGCUCAAUCUUGUGCUUUGACUGAUUUAAUAUUGCAAUUUUGCAUAUGGAAUGCAAAGGGAUCAAUAAAAUACGAUUUGCAACCCUAACAACUAAUCUUGCAUUUUGAGUUACAAUAUUGUAACUUUGAAUAUGGAAUUCGAAGGGAUUUAAUAAAAUAUAAUACUCUGAAUUAAAUAAUUAUAAUAAACUAUAUAAUUAAUGAAAUCAUUAAACUUGAAUAAAAAGUUCAUUCGACCAUCUGGUCCCCUUGUGAUAAUUGUUUGAUAUUGAAACGAUAAUUAUCGUUGUCAAAGAAAACUUGAAUGAGUACAUUAAGGCAAUUGUAACAAACAUUUUUAUGUUUGUAUGUAUUGCAUGUCUUGACGCUAACUGACGUUAAUUCUUUAUUUUUGCUAAUAUUGAAAAUACAAAUGAUUAAAUAAAAUGCUUUAAAAUUACUUCCGCAUGAUCUCCUUUUAAUUUGUCGGGUAAAUGAACUAUUGAUUUAGCAUCAAACGAGCCUUCGAACACAGAUUUUGUAAGUAAACAAUGCUACAAAAGCAGGGUUUGGAUCCCGGGUUUAAAUCCAAGUGAUACGUGUCAAGUGGAGGUUGGAUAGUUGGAAGAAUAAAGAAAGAAAAAGAACCAAACAGAUGUUGCCACGCAGCACUUGUUUUCAAAGCUUAUUUCCAAAACCUAUCAAAGCAGGAUAAUACUUUGUAAGUCGGGUGGGUUAGUAUUUUGCCAUGUGUUAGCCCUUGUUUGACAAUCAUUAUCCAAAAAUUAUUCUUUUUUUUUAUAUACUUAUUUUCAUCAACAUUCACACAAUAAAAUAUUUUGUAAAUAAACCUAAAACUUUUCUUUACUUUUUAAUCAUACAUUCUCUAAAAAUUCAUUAUUCAGAACUUUAUUUUUCCAAAUAAUGGCUGUGAAACAGGGCCUUAAUUUAACUAAAUAAUUGGUAAAAAUAUAAGUUAAAUUUAAUAAUUAUUUUUAAUUACAUUAUGAACAGAGACUUAAUUUUGGUCACGAUUAUGAAUGUAAUAUUGAAAUUUAUAGGGGGAAAUAAAAGGAAAAAAAGGGCAGGGCAACUUGAAAUAAAACGAUGUUGAGGGACCAAUGUAAAACAAACUCACAAGUCAACUGACCACAAGUGAAAUUUUCCCCUUGGUUAACUCNNNNNNNNNNNNNNNNNNNNNNNNNNNNNNNNNNNNNNNNNNNNNNNNNNNNNNNNNNNNNNNNNNNNNNNNNNNNNNNNNNNNNNNNNNNNNNUCCCCUCUUUAUAUGGAUCCACCUCUCUCUCUCCAAAACUAAUAUCAUAAGUCAUGAAGAAGCUGUACAAGAAAGGCACUGUUCAUCCGACGCCACCAUUGGUUUCUGAACAAGUGCUGUCAUUUUUGCCGGCGACUAUCUUGACUCUCACGGCGGCUCUGUCGCUGGAGGACAGAGAAGUUUUGGCAUAUCUCAUUUCUUGCUCCUCCACCAACUUUUCCAACAACCACCGCAAGAACACCCUCAAAACCAGCAGCACAGCAGCCGCUGACCACCGGCCGUCCUUCAACUGUUACUGCUUUAGUUGCUACACGAGCUACUGGGUGAGAUGGGACUCUUCGUCCAACCGUCAACUCAUACACAAGAUUAUAGAUGCUUUUGAAGAUGGUCUGCAAAUGCAAAACAAGAAAGAGAAGAGCAAAAGAGAGAGAAGGAGAGUAGACGUAAUAACGGUCAUAACUCAGAUGAGUCAAAAGUCUCUGAUCUGAGCUUGAGUAAGAAGGAGUUUACCAACUCAAAUUCAACGGCGGAGAGUGCCAUUUCCGGUGAUGCUGAGGAUGAACAAACGGCGGAGGAUGAACUCGAAAAAGGGUCUGUUGGAGGGUUCUUGAAUUUUCUUGGAGAGAGUUUUUGGGGUGUAUGGACCUGAAAAAGAAAAGGUUCGUUAAAGUCGUACGUUUGCUUGUACAAUUCAAGAAAUUUUCAUUUUUUAUUUUUUGCAGUUCCUGUGUAAAACUACAAUUAUGGGUAGUUUUAUGUAAUCAAUCGUUCAUUAAUUCCUCCAGAAAUGUCUAAUACAUUCUCUACCAAGCAGGGUAUAUUAUGCUCCAUUGAAACUUGACACGUGCGCAAUUUUUAUCAAAUGAGCAGAUGCUUUGCUCUGAUAAUUGUUACAUGUAACAUUUUUCUUUUAAGCAAUCUAUGAGAGAUGGAAUAUAUUCAUUUAAAUCUAUUUCUUUGAAGACCCCAAAUCACGGUUUUAACUGUUUGAUUGUGGGUAAUGGCGUUAUGCUUUGUGAUUUUGCUUAAAUUUAUCAAUCAAUUGUUAUCCUCCCAUUUAUUUCACUUUAUCUUCUGCCAAUAUGCAAACAAAUGUAACUUUGUCUAUUCUUGUGUUACCCUACAUGAUUAUAGACCUUUUCGAAAAAUCCUUUGCUGCCCUGUCCGAUUCACUUAAAUUGUCUGUUCGUAGACAUAUGUCUUCGGGGUUCAAUUCAUUAAUGUGCUUUAAGGUUUGAUCAACAAACUAUACAAAAAUGUUUGAUUGAUUUUAAAAGUUAUUAAUACGUUGUCGAAUAAAAUCUAAAGUCGGCUUUUAAACCCGACCAAAACCAAUUCCCUCUUGGGUAGGUAUGCCAUUUUGUUCAAAGUAGGUUUGGUGUUUACAGUUAGCCAAAUAUGACAUAAUUUAAAGAAAAAUUGACACCCCCAACAACCCAACCAUCUCAUGCAAAAUAUUUUUUAUCAGUGAGAUGUGGGCAUGUGUCUUUAUUAGGUGGGUGGUAAGAGAGUCUAAACCGCAAAAUUUUUAAUAAAUAGAUGAUGGUGAGAUUCGAAUUAAAAUUUCGUAGACUGUAAUGGGUCUGAUAUGGGCGACCGGCGCUUAUAUAGGGCUUGGUUUGAUUAAGAUUUAUGGGCUCGUUCAUCUAGGGUCGAGACCAAAUUGAGCUAGAUAAGUGAAUAUUCGGAAUGCUAUAUAUAAUAGAAGUGGACACAAAAAUAUACACAAGCAUUUCAAAUUUCCAUUUCAUAAAUUCGAUCGAGUUCUACUUAAUACAGACAACCUGAACUAAUUGAAAUAGUAUCAUAUAUCAGACAACUAUGAAGACAUUGACUAUAAACAAAUUUGAAUUGGCCAGUCUAAAUGGAAACAACAAAAAUACAAUAAAGUGGCCAUGUAUGCGUCUAUAAAAGAAGACUGUUAGGCAUGUACAGGUAUCGAUAUGCAACCUUUUAAGCGUUCAAGAAUGGCCUUUCGGGCCACUAGCUCUGAAUGGAGAGUAAGCGGGAGUCCUUCCUUGACACACUCAUCAUAUUUUUCCAAAGCAGACACGAUGUCGCUGAAAUCUGGCCGCUUUGAGGGGUUUGCCGCCCAACAACGCUUUAUAAGGUGUGCGAGUGCAGGUUGACAACUUGCUGGCAAUGGAGGUCGCUCGUUCUGCAGAGAAGGUAACAAAUAUUUCUCAAAAUUUCAAGAAUUUGAUCGAGCAUAGCGUGUUUCAAUUUCAUAAACAAAUGACAUUAACUCGACUAGAUUACAUUUAGUACAAAGAGUGUGCAUAUGAGAUCCUGAUUUGUAGAAAUAAUAGGUAAUGAACCUCGGGGUACUGGCGUAUUUUUAUGUUUGAUUUUUGACUUAUCGUGCCAAGUCCUCGAAACUGAUAGUUUUGAUACCAGUGGAUGCUUAUAACAGAAUUAGGGAAUAAAUCUAACCUUAUCAGCUACAGCAAAUGCAGCUUGCACCGGAGUCAUACCCUGAAAAGGAAGCAAGGCCGUCGUAAGUUCCCACAGCACGAUCCCAAAACUAUAGACGUCGACUUUCCGAGUACAAAUUUUCUCCUUGAUCAUCUCCGGUGCCAUCCAACGGUAAGUUCCCAUGUUUCCUUUGGUUUUUCUGCACUGUGUUUCAAGACAAGAAGUACCGAAAUCUGCAACUUUAACACGCAUCUCGUCAUUUAAAAGCAAGUUGUUCGAUUUGAGGUCUCUAUGUAUCACCCCUUGUGAAUGAAGAUACUCCAUUCCUCGUGAAAUAUCGAGGGCUAAUCUUAGAAUUGUCUCGAUUGAAAGAGAGUAUGGCUCUUUCUUGUUGAGAUACAUCCUUAAAUUCCCUUGUGACAUGUACUCGGUGAUAAUACAGUAUACGGGAGGCUUCUUACACGCAGCAAUAAACUGCAGAGAAAGAAGCCGUGUAAGUGAAAAUAAGAAGUGCAGUGAGUUUGGCAAUGAUCGAGUGACGUUCCCGUGAAUUUAACAAACACGACGACCUAGGCGAGAUAUUGCUAACAUUUUUCAUUCGUAGAUCACAAAUCUAAUUUCACAUGUAUUGCUUCUUGGACCCCAAACUCAAACAAUAUAACUUGUUGGAUGAGGUAAAGAAAUUCUAACCUGCACAAUGUUGGGAUGAUAUAAACGUGAAAGAAGGGCAACUUCAGACUUGAAUUGACGUUCGAGCAAAGCUUUAGUCUCUUCUUUAUGAGUUGGAAUUCUCACCAUUUUUACAGCAACUGCUCUUUGCUUAUAAAUCCCUCUAUAAAUCCUACUGUGUGCUCCAGAUGCAAAUUUAUUGCCUACAAAUAACUGAGAAAGAUCAGCAGCCCAUUCCUCAUGAUCCUCAGAUUCUUCCCACGUUUCGAAAUUUUCUGAAUCCAAUAUCAUUGACCAUGAUUCCAAACUGUCAAAUCUUUUUCUCUCCAUAUUGUUAGUUUCAGAAGUUAAUUGGUUGUUUCUUGAAGUGGAAGGUAUUGAUGUUGAAGAUGUUUUACUCUUAGAUUUUCGCAACCGAAACGGAUUAAAACACGAGGUAGCCAUUGAAAAUCUAAGUUUGUCAAAAGCACACAAUGAUCAAAACGUGUUGUUUUUCUUCUGAAUGAGUGAAUUGAUUUUAAGAAUUGCACGAGCAGAUUCACAAACAUGGGUUCCAAUUAUGGAAGAAAGAAAGGCUUUCUUGCACGUUUGGUAAGGUGGAUUCGACAUGGACGGUAUUAACCAAGAAAAAGAAGCUGAAAUCUUGUUCAUCAUGGGCAGAUCAGUGUAUUGAUCAUGAAAAAACAAAGGAUUUUGGGUUUCAAGGUGACAAAAUAUGGAAUGAAAUGAAGAAAAAAUCCCUCAAAAAUAGAGAGUCUACAGAGAGUUUUGUGGGUGCUUGACUGUUUCUUAUUAUCAUUAGGUAAAGUAGAUUUUUGGGCAGAUGAAGAUGAAUUCAAAGAAAAAGUUAUCAUGGAUGUCUCGUGAAAUCUUGUUUCAAAAGGAUCAAACCCUCCAGUUUUCUUAUGCAUCAUUUAAUGCUAACUUGAUUAAGUAGCUACAACUUCAAAAGUUUAGUGCUUUAUGUUUUAGAGGAGAUGUUGCACAUACCACAUGGAAUAUGAAUAUCCAACACGAAUUGAUGCAAAUAAUCUUAAUUUUUAUUUUCAAUUUUACUACUGUCAAACAAUAAAUUUGAUAAAAACCAAUUAUAUAUCACGUCAAAUUAACCCGAGUUGAGUUCAGUUGAAACAACUACUAACGUGAUAAAAAGAAGAAAUUAGUUUACAAAAUUAUAUAAGGAAAUUGGGGCAAAUUAUCUAUAAAGUACGGACCUUGUCUGCAAAUGGUCUGUGACGUUCAGUUCUUGGCACAAACCUCCUUAAACCUUUUUUUUUUUUUUUUUUGCAAAAAGUCCUUUUAGAUUAUCUCCGUUCGUUCUCGGGCUUUUGGUACUCUUUUGGGUAGAGAACUUAGGGUUCAAGAGAAGUAAGAGUUACUCGAUCCAAAUGGAAAGUAGUCGACUAUAUGUUUGAUACAUAGUAAAAGAAUGAAAUUAAAUUAGUAGUACGUAUAAAAUGUUUGUUUGUUAUCACGUACAGUAUCACGUAUCAAUCAUAUCGCAAUUAUUUCAAUUUUUUUGUGAGCAUAGAUUAAAAUUUCUAGUAGUUGAAGUAAAGGUGACUCAAACGGUGUAAGAAUUUUAGAUAGAAUCUUUAACUGAACACUUUCAAAAAUAAUUAGAUAAAGUAGCACGAGUCACGGAAUUUACUGUUGUUCAUACCAACAUGUUUCCCUUGGUGAAAUUUAUGUGGAAAAUUUUUAUAGAUUUUUUAAUCCAUUCUUGAAAUAGAUAGAAAUUAUUACGAAGAUAUCAAUUUUUGUACUUGAUCACUGAUGACAUUUCCAUUGAAUAGUAUCCUCGAUACCUCCAUCGUAAUUACUGACGAGAACACCAUAAAUGAUGUUAUUGGUAAUUACCGAAAAUAAUUAAAUAAUUAAAUAUUGAUGGAGAAGUCAUAGGUGAUUAUUGACAAUAUUGUCGAAGUUCUUAUUUAAAAUUUUUUUAUGCUAACUUACCAAUUGAGCCCGUCGUCAACGGGUCAUGGGUCAACCCAUCUAAAUGCUCUAAUUGGGCUGCACGGGGCUUCACAAUUCGCCCUACAUCAACCAUAUUUAUGAAAGUAAAUAAAAGAUAUAUUAUUGCGAAAAAUACUACGUAGCUAUAAAAAAAAUAUGUAUUUAAAUUUAUUCACCAUUUUAUAUUUACGUAACCUUUUUAAACUUAGCCAAAAAGGCGAUUAUUAUUAUUAUUUCAUUAAAGUUUGAAAUAUAUAUAUUUAUUUAUUAUUAUUAUUUUUUUUACAUGGACCAUACAAUAAAAAGUUGUAUAGGAUAAAUCUAUAAUGAUUUUGCACGCACAGGUAAUGUAUUUGUGAGACGUAUUAUUUGAAUCAAUUAACUAUAAGUCGCAAAAAUUACGGAAAAAUAAAAAAAAAAAGGAAGAAAAGGACGGAGAAGCUAAAUUUAUGCUGUAAAUGUGAGAUUUUCUACUUUAAUUUUUUAACUUUGUAAUGUAAGAAAUUUAACUGCAGUGCAAUUUCACAAAAUUUAUAAUAGUGAUUUUGAGCCCCAUUAUUAUUAUUAUUAUUAUUAUUAUUAUUAUUAUUAAUAUUAUUAUUAUUAUUAUUGACAAUAAUGCAUUUUAGAAUAGUGAUUUUAUGGAAAAUGUGUGGUUAAAAAAUAAUGAAAUUUUUUGGAUUUACGUUUAAUAUUAUUUUAUUAAAAAAAUGUGUGAUUAAAAAUAAGAGAAAGAAAAAUGUGUUUUGAAAAUAAUAACUAAUCAUUUUCACAUAAAUAUUUUGUUGUUGAAGACGUCGCAAAGUAACAAUCUAUAGAAUGCGUCCAAACUUAAUGUAUUUACAAGUUAGAACAUUUUCAGAAUCAGUGUUGUUGUGAUUUGAUUUAUUUUCGUUAAGAUGUGAAAAUUAUGUCCGUAACUUGUAAACAUGAAAAUAUUAUUGCAAAUAGGAGGACCAAUAGCACAUUAAAAAUCAGGUAAACAAGUGAAAAUGAGUUAAGUUAUUUGCACAUUAAUAGUGUACAUUACUUUUGGCAUCAUUCAAGUUGGCACGAGUUGAUUGGUCAAAAAAGAAAUUUAUUUUUUUAAACUGUCCAAUAGCUUGUUGCCAUAUAACACAAUGAAAAAAAUGAUGUAAAAAGUAAUAUACGUACACCAUUAUAGUUUAAUUUUUUAUUCUCGAAGGCGUGACAUAAAAUUCAACUAUUUAUAAAGUAUGUUAGAUCGAUUUCUAUAAAUAAUAGGGAUAAUUGCAGUAGAAGCCUCAAACUUUCUAAACACUAGCAAAUAUUUUUCUAACUUUUUAUUUGUUGCAAUUGUCAUCCAAAACCUUUUAAAACGUUGUAUCUGAAGACAUUUUGGAUGAAAUCUGUCUAAUUUACCGUUAGUUGAUCUCAAAAAGUGAUUUUGACCCAAGAAUUAAUUUUGACAACAAUUUACUCAAUUUUUAAAAAGGCAAAAUAGUAAUUUAAUAUUUUUUCGGUAAAAUAAAAAAAACUUAAAUAAAAAAAACAAACAAAAAAGAAAAACUAUUUUCUUCUUCCUCACCCCACUCCCACUCCACCUCCACCCCAUUCCCUCAACCCAAAAGAAUGAGGAGAUUAGGAUAAAUAAAAUGAAAAAUAUGAAAUUGCAAAUGAACGCUCAAAUGGAACAGAUCCAUGAUGAAAUUCGUUAUACUAUGCAUGCCCUUGCAUAAUAUUUCUUACCUCUUGAUGUAUAAUGCACAUUUAUGGGUAUAUAAUUGAUUUCUCGUGUCGAUUUUUCUAACGCUGUGCUUGGUUAUAUAAAUUUUCUUCGAUUGUCUCUGAAUUGUAUAAAAAUGUGGAAUUGGCUUCUUCCUUCUUCCCCCUCCCCCCUUCCCCCUUUAUUCACUGAGCAUCUACAUUGAGUUGGCGUUAUGACGUUUUCUUUUCUGGGUUAAGUGAAGCAAAUGAAUUCUGACCAUUUUUGCUUUGGAUAACAUUAUUGGGGAUAGCACAAAGAAGAGACUAGUUGUAGCGGCGAUAACUGACUGCUCUUUGUUGAUUCUAUUGUUUGGGUAAAUGGUGGAGUUUGUAAAGUCUAUCUUUAGGGUUUUCUUUAAUUACACAUUUCUUUUGUUGAGAUAUGAUGUCGAGAAUCUUAUGUUGGAGAAGGAGACUUCUGCAGAGGUAUUGGUGGUAUGAAGUGUAGAACCCUUCACGGCAACAAUGAGAGGCUAGGUUGAUGGUAAUGGAAGAUUUUGGUUGAGGCGAAUGUAGUGGGUGUAUAGGUUGUCGACAGGGUGGAGAUUUUUGUGAUGGGGUUGAAUUAGGGUUUCGGUGGGAGAAUUAGUGGGGUGGGGUGAGGAAGAAAAAAAUAGUUUUUUUCAUUUUUUUUGUUUGUUUUUUAUUUAGGUUUUUUAUCAAUUUAUGGAAAAAUAUUAAAUUACUAUUUUGCCCUUUUACUUGAGUAAACAGUGGUCAAAAUCACUUUUUAGGUCAAUUAACGGUAAAUUAGACAGAUUUAGGAUUGGCAACAGUUUGGUUCGACAAAAUCACUAUCGAACCACCAAUUUUUUGGCCAUACCAUAACCCUGUAAGUUGGUUCGGUUCAGCUCAGUUUGUGCGAUUAAUAACCACGAAAAUAAAUUAUUUUUUUAUAAGUCCAGUCGUCAAAUUGAAAAAAAAAAUUUACUAAAAAAAAAAAAAAGUCAAUGAAAACAAAAACACAAUACCAAGUCAAUUUAGCAAACAAUAUCUUAAAUGAAAAUGCAAAUAAUAUCACAAAGUAACAAUUUAUAGAAUGUGUCCAAACUCAAUGGGUUUACAAGUCCGAACAUUUUUAGAAUUGGUGUUGUCGUGGUUUGAUUUAUUUUCGUUAAGAUGUGAAAAUUAUGUCUGUAACUUGCAAACAUGAAAAUAUUAUAGCAAACAAGAGGUCCAAUAGCACAUUAAAAAUUAGGUAAACAAGUGAAAAUGAGUUAAGUCAUUUGCACAUUGAAAGUAUACAUUACUUUUAGCAUAAUUCAAGUUGGCACGAAUUGAUUGGUCAAAAAGCUAUUUAUUUUCUUAAACUGUCCAAUAGCUUGUUGCCAUGUAACGCAACAAUAAAAAUGAUGUAAAAAAGUGUUGGGCGCGAAAGCUCCGAUAUCACUUGUUGAUCCUAAAUCAGAUUGUAAAGAAUGAGAUUUAAUGACGAUGUGAAGUAUUAAAGAUCACAACAAGAAACAAGAUUAAAAGUAAAGAAAUAAACAAAGAGAAUUUAUCGCAGAGUAACGAUGUAUUAUAAAUUGACAAUAUGAAGAAAAAUUACAAACACGAUAAUAAUGUUUAAAUAAAACCGAUGGAAGAGUCUUAUAUUUAUAGAUCACGUUUUAAAUCCAAGAAGAGUCCUAAAAGGCAAGAAAAUAUAUUACAAUUAGGAGACCCAAUUUUAACGAAAUUUUGUUUCCUUGUUGUUGAAUGCAGUUAGACUUCUUUCUAACACCAACAAUAUGCGAUUGAAGACUCCUAUUUAAGUCACUACUCUAACAAUCUCAACCUUGACUCAAAUUCUGAUGUAACGAGCGGAGCUCCAUAAAAUUUUUCCACCUGAGAAAUAAACUCGUUUGUAUCAAAAUGAAAUGGCAAAUUUCCACAACUCAAUAACCAAAACUCUCCAUAUAAACUAUCGUCCUCUGCACGGCGUCCACAAGCGACACCUGAAUCCUAUUCUCGGGUUCCUAAAAUUCCACCAAGGAAUUGAUGUUUACCAAAUAGGGUCGAAGCACACACUAUUAGCAGAAAUCAUACAAAAUGCCUGAACGGAAAGCCUCUUGCUAGAACUGUCGCCUUUAACAUCUCCAAAAGUAUUAUAGACAUCACCGACACCACAGUACCUAUGCUCAAUGGAUCCAAUCCUAGCAACUAAACACGGUGCAGCCGCUGAAAUUGGUGGCAAAGUGGAAUCACUAACGCUCCCUCGAGCAAUGUUCUGAAUCGAUCCAGAGCCCGUCACAAAAAGUACUAUACCAAAAUGAAUAUCCACCACGGUACUGAACUUGUCCAUAUGUCUUUUAACUGCAUCUGUGCUCCCCUGUAAGAUGUACAACUGAGAAAUUCUCCCUCCCUCUAGCACAACACAAACACCCAUUCGGACCUUCAAGACUCCACCUCCAUAUCCAUCGGAGAAUUUAUACCCUUUUGCAUCCAAAGUACUAAGCGAUAUGAGAUUUCUUUUCAGGUCUGCAACAUGUCGAACUUGAUCAAUUGUUCUAACUGUCCCAUCCCGCAGCCUAAAUUUGACUUGACCGAUCCCAACAAUAAGGCAAGACGGGUUGUUUCCCGUUACAACUCCACCUUGCUGAACAACCUCAUAUGUUUGAAAGAAAUUUCGAUUGGAAUACAUAUGAUACGAACAUGCUGAAUUAAGAAUCCACUCCUCGUUAGGCCUAGAUUCCACGGUCAACAUCAUAUCUGUACCAUCUGAAAAAUCCUCAACUCAUUUGUUUCGUCUGAAGUUAAAGGUUGCGCUCUAUGAUUUGCAGUUAAAUCACCUUUAGCCUGCAAUUUAUCGUAAUCCUUCUAAAUAUGUCCCUUAAUUCUAUAGUAGAAGCAAAAAAAAAUUGCUGCUAUUGUUUGAUCUGCCCCUCCGUCGACCACCAUGAGAUACAAGAGUUUCAUCAUCCCUCGAUGUAACUCCAACAAAAUGCGUCAACUUUUCCUUUGAAUGCAAAAGCAUCAUAUACGUCGUCUAUAUUUAAAGUAUCUCGAAUAUACAAAAUAGUAUUUCGACACAACGCAUAAGAGUCGGGCAACGAACAUAAUAGGAUCAAGGCCAGAUCCUCUUCAUCGUACUUAACUUCCAACGUCUCCAAAUCUACAACUAUUUCAUUGUACACCAAAAUAUGGUCUUCCGAUGACCCUCCUUCCGCCAUGCGACGAGAAUAUAGCUUCUGCUUUAGAGCUAGUUUGCUCAUGAGACUUUUAGUCUUGCAUAACUGCUUCAGUUUUAACCACAAGGCAGCCGCUGUUUUCUCCUUCAAGAUAUCCUGUAGAAUAUUGUUGGAUAAAUGAAGAUAGAUUUGCGAUAAAGCCUUUCGCUCCCUCCGUUGUUUCUCUUCCAUUUUCCAAUCAGCUGACAUCUUCUCAAAACCUAGCAACGCAUCGUCUAAAUCUUACUGCACCAGAAUAGCCCUAAUCUUUACUUGCCAUAAAGAAAACCUUGUAUUAUGAUCCAGCAGCGAAAUGUUAUACCUCAUGAUAAUCAUAUCUAAAAAAUCCUCAACCAAUCCACAGAAGAAGAACCUGGCUCUGAUACCACUUGUUGGACGUAGAAGCUUCGAUACCACUUGUUGAUCCUAAACCAGAUUGUAAAGAAUGAGAUUUAAUGACGAUGUGAAGUAAUAAAGACUACAACAAGAAAUAAGAUUAAAAGUAAAGAAAUAAACAAAGAGAAUUUAUAGCAGAGGAACGAUGUAUUAUAAACUAACAAUAUGGAGAGAAAUUACAGACAAAACAAUAAUGUUUAAACAAAACUGACAAAGGAGCCUUGUAUUUAUAGGCCACAUUUUAAACCAUAGAAAAAUCCUAAAAGGUAAGAAUAAAUAUUAUAAUUAGGAGAUCUAAUUUCAACGGUAUUUUAUUUCUUUGUUGUUGAAUGCAGUUAGACUCCUUUUCGAUACCAACAAUACGCGAUAUAAGACUCCUAUUUGAGUCAUGACUUUGACAAAAAUUGAUAUACAUACACCAUCAUUGUUUCUUUAUUCUCGAAGGCAUGACAUAAAAUUCAACUAUUUAUAGAGUGUUUCAGAUAAUUGCAGCAGAAGCCUCAAACCUUUUAAACUCUAGCAAACUUUUCCCUGAUAUUUUUUUUGUUGCCGCUGUCAUCCAAAACAUUUUAAAACGUUGUAUUUGAAGCCAUUUUGGAUGGAAUUGUCUAAUUUACCGUUAGUUGACUUAAAAAAGUGAUUUUGACCAAAUAAUUAAUUUUGACAACAGUUUACUCUAUUUUAAAAGGGCAAAAUAGUAAUUUAAUAUUAUUUUCCAAUAAAAUAAUAAAAAAGAAAAAAGAAAAGAAAAACUAUCUUCUUCUUCCUCACCCCACCCCCUCAACCUAAAAUAAGGAAGAGAUUAGGAUAAAAUGGUGAAUAUGGAAUUGCAGACGAAUCCUUAAAUGGAGCAAAUCCAUGAUGAAAUUCUUUAUACUAUGCGUGUCCUUGCAUAAUAUUUCUUACUUCUCGAUGUAUAAUGCACAUUUAUGGGUAUAUAAUUGAAUUCUCAUGUCGAUUUUUCUUAGGCUAUGCUUGGUUAUUUGGAUUUUCUUCGAUUGUCUCUGAAUUGUAUAAAAAUGUGGAAUUGGCUUCUUCUUUUUUUCCUAUUUACGGAGCAUCUACAUCGAAUUGGCGUUAUGAUGUUUUCUUUCCGGGUUAAGUGAAGUAAAUGAAUUAUGGCCAUUUUUUGCUUUGAAUAACAUUACUGAGGAUAGUACAAAGAAGAGACGAGCGUAGAUGGUUGUAGCAACGGUAACUGACUGCUCUUUGUUGUUUCUGUUGUUGGGGUAAAUGGUGGAGAUUGUAAAGUCUAUCUUUAGGGUUUUCGUUAAUUGCAUGUUUCUGCUGUUGAGAUAUGGUGUUGAGAAUCUUAUGUUGGAGAAUGAGACUUCUACAGAGGUAUUGGUAGUGUGAAGUGCAGACCCUUUCACAGCAGCGAUGAGAGGCUGGGUUGAUGGUGAUGGAAGUUUUUGGUUGAGGCAAGUGUAGUGGAUGCGUAAGUUGUCGACAAGGUAGAGAUUUCUGCACAGAGGUUGGAUUACGGUUUCGGUAGCAAAAUUGGUGGGAUGGGGUGGGGAAGAAGAAGAUAGUUUUUUUCAUUUUUUGUUUGUGUUUUACUUAAAUUUUUUAUUAAUUUAUGGAAAAAUAUUAAAUUACUAUUUUCCCCUUUUAAUUGAGUAAAUCGUGGUCAAAAUAAUUUUUUAGGUCAAAAUCACUUUUUUAGGUCAAAUAACGAUAAAUUGGACAGAUUUAGGGUUGGCAACGGUUUGAUUCGACCAAAAUCAUCAUCGAACCACCAAUUUUUUGGCCAUACCAUAACCGCGUAGGUUAGUUCGGCUCAAUUCGUGCAAUUAAUAACCACAAAAAAAAAAAAAUUAUAAGUCCAGCCGCCAAAUUAGAAAAAACAAUUUAUUAAAAAAAAUUCAAUGAAAAUAAAAACACAAUACUAAACCAAUUUAGCAAACAAUAUCCAAAAUGAAAAUACAAUUAAUAUCCCAAUUUAUUAAUUUUUUUAGGGAUCGCUGUUGCAAUUUUCCCUUAAUUUUCAAAGGAUUAGUCUACAAGUACACAAUAUAUUACAUAAUGCUUUACACUUGCUGAGCUGGUGUCUUCCUCAGUAAAAAAAAGUUUUUUUAGUCAAUUUCUCGCCAAAAUCUCAUGAGAGAAAUGAACUUUAAAAGAAAGACUCCUUCCCGCAAAUUGAAUCUCGUUUGCACAAACAAUUCCUCCUCUCUCAGAUCUGCGAAAGCCCUUUUCUUCGAGAGUUCGAUCUCCGGCACAGUUCCUUUUCUUCCAUUUUUUCAGUUUGAAGAACCGUGAGCCCUUCUCUCUCUUAACCGGCGUCCACUUCAUACUAUCGUGAAGAAUCGAAAGACAUCGAGGUUAGUAUAUGUUGUUCAAAGCCGACUUUUUCCUGUUCAUUCUAGUUAUUCGACUUUUUUCUUGUAUUUGCUUAGUCAACAACUGAUUUUUACUAGUAUUCGAUGUUUUCGCAUUUUUUUUGGGAAUAAAUCUGGUUAUUCGAGAGUUCGAUCUCCUUGCACAGUUCCUUCUCUUCCAUUUUUUCAGUUUGAAGAACCGUGAGCACUUCUCUCUCUUAACCGGCGUUGACUUCAUACUAUUGUGAAGAAUCGAAAGACAUUGAGGUUAGUAUAUGUUGUUCAAAGCCGACUUUUUCCUGUUCAUUCUAGUUAUUCGACUUUUUUUUUUGGGAAUAAAUCUGGUUAUUUGAUGUUUUCGCCUUUUUUUGGGAAUAAAUCUGCUUAUAAUUUUAUUUUGUUGAUGUUUAGUUGAUAGUUAUAAAAAUGGGUUUUGAUUAGUGCAACAAAUUGUGCCAUUUGUGUUUGCAUAUUUGUUGAUGUUAAGUUUGUAGUUGUAAAAAUGGAUUUGUGACUAGUGCAGUCAAUCUUACCAUUUCUGUUUGCUUAUUUGUUGAUGAUAAGUGUAUGGGUAUAAAAAUGGAUUUGUCACAGCAAAUGGGCAAACAAUAAUCUGUGAAAUAAAUAUGCUUAUUUGUUGAUGCUAAGUAAUGUUGGUUAGGUUAACUAGACAAUUGGUACAAGUGUUCCUUUUAUCUUAUGUUAAUUGGUCUUGUAUUUGUCAAUGCAAUUUGGUAUCUCGAACUAAUUUGCUGUUGAUUUGGUUAUUUUGUGGUUGCGUUAGUCUUGUUUGAUGGCAGGCAAGAAUAGAGGAAUCUGUCAUAGUUGUAGACAACCAGGACACACGUUGUUGGAAUGCUCCAAUAAGAGAGCAUGUCCAAAAUGUGGCGAGAGUUUCGUCAAAUGGAUGGAGGUGGAAAAGAAUAUUGAAAACAUGGGAAAGAUGUUCCAUUGUUGUACUUGGGACUGCAGGUAUUUCAAGUGGAGUAAUGUUUUGCCCACCGAAGAAUAUCAGUUGCAUAUUGAAGGUGAAUCAAGUGGUGUCCCGAAGCCUAAAGAUCGGUUCGAUGAUUUGUCGCAUAUGUUCAAAGAAUUGACUAAAGUGUCUACUAAUGAAGAUGACUUGGAGAUUUCGUUCAGCAUAACUAUUUGCAAGGGGAAACGAGUUUUGGAAGGCAAUGACAAUUGAAGGAAAGCUACCGUGUAAUGUUAGUGUAGGACUGUGUAUGAUGUAGUUGUUUAUGGAUGUAAUUUGGAAGUUGAUGGUUAUGUGUACUGUAAUGGUGUAGGUUUGUUUAAAACUGGUUUGAUUCAAUGAGAAUAUCUUUUGGCAAAGAUAAUAUUGCUCAUGUCAUUUAUAGCUUUCAUAUGUGAAAAUUUGAUAUAAACUGGUAAAAAGAUAAUAUCUCUUGGUUGCUAUCUCUUCCAAUUAAUUUGACAAAUGCAUGUAAAUUGGAACAUGAAUAUCAUUUUUAUGGACCUCAUUUAGUUUAUCAAUCACACAUUAGUACUUAAAUAUCACUACGAUGCAGAGACACAAGAUUUUUCUCUAGGUGCGUCCCAAUAUAUUAUUAGCCAUUACACCCCCAAAUACACCAAUGCAAUUCUAAAAUCUACUACCCGAUUCAGAAAUUCAAUUUCUAGAUUUAAGUUCAGAUUAAACUUUGAUCAUUAACAAUGAUGUAAGAGUUGAUUACACAAUCUGAAAAAUCUUACAAUACUAACCAAAUCCAGAUCCAAUAAUAUCAAAAUGUCCCUUAGAAGAUUCAUGGUUAAUUACCAAAUAAAUGAACCAUUGAAAUUGACGGAAUUUCCCAGAUGGGGUGGGGGGGGGUGGGGUGCAUUACACAAUCUGAAAAAUUUUCAUUAUUAUAUUAGAAUUCAACUCAACCCAAAUAUUAAAUCAGAAUUCAACUCAACCCACAAAAACGUAAACAAAGAAAAUGAUACAAAACCAACAUGUGGCAAUGAUCCCUGCAAAAUUGAUAAUCUUGAACUAACUUGAAAUAAAGCUUGGAUUUACACUAUUACACAGGAACUCAAAUGGUGAAAAAUCAAAUCUUGUGAUUGAGGCUUAAAUUGGGUGAAACAAGAAAACCCUAAAGAAAUGAUAAACUGAAAUCCCAUAAUUUAUUGCAAUAAAGUCAAGUCAUGUGGGCAAGUCUUCCAAGUACAAAUUUCAUGGGGGGAAAAAGAGUGCAAAAAUUUAUAAUAAUAUUCAGCCCCCCAACAUCAUCUUUAGCCCCAAAAACUUACAUAACGCCUAAGAAGAACACAAAAACUUAUACAAUCGAUAAUUAAUAUUGUACAUAAAUUCACAUAACCGGAUUUGUCUACAUUGCACAUCAUCAUCUUUUGCCCCCCCCCCCCCCCCAAAAGAAAUCCUGUAGCUAUUUAUUGAUUUCCAUCACAACACUUCAAAGCUAUCCCGUGUCCUAACAUCUUCAGUGGUGAAACCCCUUUGUUUUGCCUUUUACACAUGGGCACCUGUAUAACAUGGGAAAAAAAUUUCAACAACUUUGCAAGCUAAAAGUAUGUUGCAAAGCUUGAAUGAAUUUCAUACCUUUCGAGAACUUUUAGAUUUACUCGAACUAGUUUCUAGAUGGCCCUUUCUACGAAGUUUUCUAGGGACUCCUUUGCGUUUCGUGUACUUUGGAUCCAAUAUGCUUCUGCUAGCACAUGCUAUCGAGUCAACACAUUGAGAGCCCACAUUAAUACACUUCGACUAACAUGCUUCUGUUGUUUCGAACAUGAUCAAAUCCAUAAUUCUCCUAAAUCGUUGUUCGUCAUGUGCUAUCACAUCUGCUAACUUGGUAAACGUAUUGCAUAGUUGCUCAUAUCUAACCUGCUUGGCGCUACUGACAAAACCAUCAUAUUUGACGGGAACCCUCAUGUAAGGUCGGUUCACAUCUCGUCUCCACCUCUUCAAUAUAUAUCUCUCCGAAAUUAACACCACAUCGUUACCGAUUAAAACUGAGAUUGCAUGCUUGCAAAUAAUUCCUCUAAACUCAAAUAAGUGGCAACUACAUUCAAAUUCACAAUUUUCCCUACGAAAUGAAACUGAAAAAAAUUUGUUUCUUCAUGCCUUCAUUGCUAAUGAUAUCCUCACGAACCUCGUAAGUGGAGUAAAAUAUGAGUCCUUCACAGAUAAGAUCUCACAAUACACCUUCCCCGUAAACUCUUGCUGGAACUCUUUGAACUUAAAGAUCGUGUACACUGAUUGAAACUGUUUCUCCAUAUCAUACAUUGUUGCACAAGGGACCAUCUGUGAAAAUGAUUUGAAAUCAGUUUGAAACUCUUUUUCAACUUUACUUCUCAAUGCCCGCUCAUAUUGUUCUACAAAUUGCUUCAGAGAAGUUUUUGAAUGAACAUUUCCGUCAAAAAAGGCAUUUAUGCCCUCGCUUCAUUGGAUGGUCGACAUACCAGCCCAAAAUGAAUUUUUCAAAUAACAUGGCACCCAACACCUUCUAUCAUUGUAAAGUCUAAUCAACCAACCAUGUUCUUGCAGUUCAUAAUGUACAAGCAUCGUAUGCCAUUUUUCCUCAAACUCUGGAGGACUUUGUGUAUCAUACACCAACCCGUGUACACUAGAAAGAAUAGAAUUUUUGUACCUAUGGUUGCCAAAGUUUUCUAGCAACUUCUUUAAAAUAUGUCACAAACGCCAUUUGUGUCUCGUGUUUGGGAAGAUGAUCUCAAUUGCAUUUUGCAUAGCCCGAUCUUGAUCCGUUAUAAUUUCAUUUGGAGCUUGACCGUGCAUGCAUUCCAAUCAUGUCUUAAAUAACCAUACAAAAGUCCAAGUAUCUUCAUUCGAAAUUAGGCCGCAUCCAAGAAGUGUUGAUUGGCCGUGAUGAUUAACUCCAACAAAUGGAGCGAAGGGCAUAUCGUACUUGUUGGUCAAGUAUGUGGUGUCAAAAGUGACCACAUAACCAAAUUCUUUAUAGGAUUCUUUGCAUCUGUUAUUCGCCCAAAACACAUUCCUCAACCGACAAUCUUCAUCCAAAUCUAUACUAAAAUAGAAGCCAGGAGUACUUGUUUGCAUUCUUGAGAAAAAGACUUGAAUUGCAGUGGCGUCUCCCUCACCAAGCCUUAACCGUCGCACUUUGUUAGUAAAAUUUCUACAAUCUUUUUCAACGCACGCCAUCUUGUCAUAUCCACCGGCUUCAACUACAACGGAGUUAAAGCUUUUGUGCAAUGGAAUUUCAACAAUGCCAUUUAUUUCAAGCUGUCUUCUGAUGCGAGCACUAUUAAAUCGAUAUAACCUCGAUUUAGAUGGGCUUGUUCUAUGAUUGUGCUCGAGAUAGAUAGUGUUAAUAUGCCAUGUUCCACCUAUCUCCGAACAUGCUGUCACCCUCACUUUAUAUUCAGUUUGGAUUGUUGGCUCCAGUUUGGAUUGUUGGCUGAGGAUUUAAAGAAGAACUUGUAGCAGUGGUUCGUCAUCCUUCUCGACUACAUGCGAAGCAUACAUAUCGUACUAUCCCGUCUUCACCCUUCCUUGAAUUUCUUUUUCUGACAGGAAUCCCGACUUGGUAUGCAUACUUCUUGUAAAAUUCAAAAAUUUCAUUUUCGUCUUUGAACUUCAUUCCGGGCCUUGGCACAAUAAUGUCAAUUCCUUCAUAACCUGCACAUAAAUUUCCUCAAACCAAAAACAUAUAAAUGUCAAAGAAACCCCCCCCCCCCCCAAAAUAAAAAAUAUAUAUAUUAUGUUAAAAAAAAAAAAAAUGGAGCCAGAUAGCCGUUGAUACAAUCCAUACAAUAAUAAGAGAUUUCUUGUCAUAAAUAACAUUGCAAUGUAUGGACAGUAAAACUGUAAUCAACAAUGCAUAGAGCGAGAACAACUUGGAAUUUGAGAGAGCUUCCAUUUUUUGAACUACAGAGACGAAAACAGGGUUUUUUCUUUUCCUUUCUUCUUUUGAAUGGAAAUAAAUGUUUGAAGAACUAAAAUGAAUUACACAUUUCAGAUCACUGUUCAGUUCAAUAAUGUGCACAAUGUAAGAUUUUUAAAAAUACAAAAUAAUGGGUACCUGAGUUCUCUUCGCCAUCAAAAUCGUCGGCUCCGAUCUCGUCGACCUCAAGAUCGUCGACGUUGAUGUCAUCACCUUCGACUAAUGGGUAGGUGUUUUCAUUUUUGCUCACUCGAGAAAACGACUCACUUGCAACUGAUGGGGGAAAAUGUGUUGGGCUCAAAUCAUUGUGCUCGCCGGCGUCGAAUCUUCGAUUUCGUCAGCCUCAUUUUCCAAAUCUUGUGACGGUAAGUUCUCCCCAUCUUCCAUUUUUUUUUUUUGCCUCUAAAAUGAAGUCGAAGGAUACGUGAUGGAGGGAAGGGUUUCUUUAGACAAAUCUGAUUUUUUAUUUUUAUUUUAAUUAAGCGAGAAAUUGACUCAAAAAAUUUUUUUGACCAAGAAAGACGCCAGCUCAACAAGUGUAAAGCAUUAUGUAAUGUAUUGUGUACUUGUAUACUAAUCCAUUUUGAAAACAUCGGUGCACCAACAAAUACGACAGAGGACAUAAGUGUCAUUACAGACAAAGUCGUGUCUUUUUCUAGUCAUUUUAAAUCCCCAACCCCAUUACCUUCACUCACUCACACCUACACUCUAUGCUCCCUGCAUACCUUCCCUCUGUCUGCAAACUUCACUUCAAUUUUUCGCUCUAGAAAAAACCCGAAAAUGAGCGCCCGAACCGGAUCACACCAGCUGAGUAAUGGACUCUACGUGUCGGGUAGACCCGAAGAGCAGCUCAAGGAACGCCAGCCGACAAUGGCUUCACGCGCCGUCCCUUACACCGGCGGCGACGUCAAGAAAUCCGGCGAGCUAGGAAAAAUGUACGGUGUUGGGGUUUCAAGUGGAGAUCAACUAGGUCCACCUAAGCCCCCUUCCCGCUCCGGAUCCCAGCAUAAUAGCGGAUCUGCCAGAUCCGGCCUGAAGCCCAACUCCGGGCCUAUGAACAAGAAAUCAUCGUCUUCCUCGUUUUCUGGGCCUAUGACCCCAAUUCAGCCGACAGGCCUUAUAACAUCCGGUCCACAGGGAUCGGCCAGCUCUAACCGUCGCUCCGGCCAGCUUGACGCGCCGUCCAGGCAUACCUCAUUCAACAAAGUUCUGCACGGUUCAGCAGUGACAAACUUGGGGGAUAAGGUGAAAUUGGGGUUCAGGGUUUCCAGGGUGGCAAUGUGGGUGAUGUUGGUUGUGGUGGUCUUGGACUUGGUGGCAGCGGCGUUCCUUAUGGCCACGGUAAAAAAGCCAAUGAUUUUGGUGGGUGUGGGAGCAGUUUUUGUCCCCGCUGUGGUGAUUCUGAUAUGGAAUUACGUGUAUAUAAAGAGUGGGGUUUUAGGGUUUUUGAGGAAAUACCCUGAUGCUGAGCUGAGAGAGGCUAUAGAUGGACAGUACGUCAAGGUCACGGGGGUAAUUUUCAGAAUUUCCCAUACUUAUUGUUUCGCAUUUGAUUCAAUAUUUAUGUUGCAUCUUUUUGUGUUAGGUGAUGUUAAUGGUUUCAGUUAUUUAAGGCUUUUUACUGAUAUUUAAGAUACAUAUAAUAAAAUACAUAAUAAUGCUAUUCAGCUCUACUCUAGGUAGGUGGCAACUGCCUGAUAUCCAUUAACUUAAAUGCAACGUCACAUUGUUUAUUUAAUUGAACAUAUCAAAUGUGGCCAUAUAGACUGAUUUUAUAACAAUACUUGUGCUAGAUAGCAUUAUUCAUAAAAAAAUUAGGUGAUGUGAACUCCAACAGUCAAAUCAAACCAUGGUCUUUAUUGAAUCAAAUACGCUACUCAUUUUUUUUUUUAAUUAUUGUGUGCACAUAUUUAGAGAGAGAGAGAGAGAGAGAGAGAGAGAGAGAGGAGUCUUCAACUCUUCGUGUUGUAUUAAUGUUACCUCUGCAUGUGGUUUUUUCCUGUCUUGGGUUUUCACGUAAAUCUUGGUGUUUUUUAUUUUGUUUUUGUGUAUUUCAUUAUUGUCAUAAUCUUCCGGUCAAAUUCGCAACACUUCGAAAUGGAUGUUCUUUUUUAGAUGGAGAGAGGAUAGUAUCCUCCAGUGGUUGGUUGAUUGGGAAUGUUAUCUUAGAAAUCGCAGCAAGACAUCCCAUUGUCCUCAAGACUUGUUGCUGCGUCAAACUGAGCUCGAGCGCAACAUGCUACUGGCUUCUACAUUUUUCUGGUUUGGGAUUGUUUUGCUCCCAUGUACUUGUGCAACUAAGGAAAAGAUUCAACCCUAUAAAGAAUUUUAAGGAUUUAAUGCUUAAGCCAAUGGAUAAUUGGCUAGGCAAAUUAAAUGGUGCUCAUGUGGAUCUUGAGGAGAGCAUAACAUCAACGACCUCACAAGCUUGAUGCAUGAAGUCUUAAUUCUAAGCUAUAAAGAACGUUAGGAGCAUCGAGAACACUGGGGCUAUAGAGCAGGCAAAAUUUGACCUUUUCAAUGGAUUCUCUGUUCUGCCUUGAUAUAAAAUUCCUUGAGUUGAAAUAAUUUAGUCAUCCUCUAAAUAAUUUACAUGAAGUAGAGCUAUUGGAAUCUGAGCUCUAAAUUCCAGUUUUAUUACUCCUAGUUUUUCUCUUUAACAAGAAUGAGUUGAAACAUUUAUGAUUUAACAAUGUAAACAGAGAUGCAGAUGAGAAAUAUGGAUAACACCUCUCCCAGUCUCCCACCCCCACCCCCAUGAGUAUAUGCAUGUAGAUUGCAAGUUUGCAACAGUCAAUGCAGCUCAGUGUCGAGGUUGCGUUGAAAUCCUUGCAUUCUGAAUUACUUGUAUUAAUCUAAUGGUUAGCUUUUUUUCCACAGGUCGUCACUUGUGGUAGUAUACCUCUUGAGUCUUCGUUUCAGAGGGAACCGAGAUGUGUAUAUGUUUCCACAGAAUUGUAUGAAUACAGAGGAUGUGGCGGAAAACCAGAAAAUGCUAAGCAGCGCCUCUUUUCUUGGGGAUGCAGGCACUCAGAGGUCAGUCUGUUGAACUCAUUGAGGAAUCAGAUUGGAAUUUUAUUAGGCAUAUAUUGCUUUUUGUGAAUUAUAUAUAUCAUUUUGUGGCAUACCCCUGAACAUCCAUUCUGACUCACUCACGUCAAGCAUAUAAAUAAUUUCUAAUUUUUUAGUAUUACAUUCUAAAAUGCGUAUAAGCUUCAUUUUGAAUUUUUCUGGUGGUCAAACCCAACAGUGAUUCCCUGAUAAGUGAUGCCCAUUUUUCUAAAAAAAAAUUAAUGGCUAAUUCCAGUUGAUUUCACUUUGUUAAUGUUGCAUUGCAUCUUUAGUGGAUUUCCCAACUCAGAAUAAGAACUUAUCCUAAAAUUCCUUGGUGAUUUUUGAUGUCAAAUACUUGUUGGGGUGAAAAUUAUUCAAUUUCACUUUUCGACAUUUUCCCACAACUCUUGAUGUAAAGACCUUCGAGUAGCUUGGCAAUUGAAAUGGAUUUAAGGAGCAGUAACUUGAGGGCUCAUAUCAAUCUUUUGUGUCGUUUUGAAUCAUUUUUAGCCUUUGUUUUGUUUUUUUUUUUUUUUUUUUUUUUCUUUGCUAAAAUAUAAGUUGGUAGAAAUGAGUGAUGGAUGGGUGGUACUUGUGAGUCUUAUGAAAUCCGUGGUUAAAAUUUAUGUUCGACUUUCAAAAUGAACUUUUUAGCCAAAAAAUAAAAAUAAAUAAAUAAAUAAAUAAAUAAAACAAUUCCUAAACAAAGGCUCAAGGAUAAACGACGCCACUGUUGAAAUCUAUUCUUUGUUUCCUCCCUCUAUUAACAGAACUAUGUUGCGGACUUCUAUAUAUCAGACUUUCAGUCCGGUUUAAGAGCUUUAGUAAAAGCAGGCUAUGGUGCUAAAGUUACUCCAUUUGUCAAACCAACCACGGUGGUCAACAUAACGAAGGAUAAGAAAGAGAUGUCUCCAAACUUUCUAAGCUGGUUGGCUGAUCGAGGUUUGUCAAGUGAAAACUCUAUAAUGCGCUUUAAAGAAGGGUAAGAUACUGCUCAUUUAUCAAAUUGAUAUCAUGCAAAUAUUGACAUCUAUAGACUUCUAUGACAUCAUUUUGGGUGCAAGUCACUUAUUGAAUUUAUUGAAUCAUGGACAUAAUAUUGAAAUGGAGGAUAUCAGUUCUGUAUAUUGUAUGUUAUGUUCAAACCUUACAAUCCAGUUUCACAAAAUCAGGUUAAAACGAUAUAGAACAAAAAAAAUAUUGCACGGCGCUAGACCAGAAUCUGAAAAUUUGGCAACACAUUAUCUGCAAAUCAUGGAAUUUUGGUUCAUUCCACAUUCAGGAUCAAUAUCUAGAAUCUUGAAAGGAUAGUUUUUAGACUGUUAAUCAAGAAGGUAAUUUUACCCCCCAUCUGAGAAGAUAAAAUGGUAAUCACCACCAAUUUCUUAAAUGCAUGUUCGGUAAUUUAGGUUGGAUAUCAAUGCAUAGCAUUAAAGUUGACAAAGAAGUUAAAAUUUUGUCCGUUUUAGUAACUGCCUAGUCGAGCUAAAUCCGUUUCCAUUGUUGUACACUCGUGUACCAAACCUGGAAACCCUUCCUGAAGCGCAACUGAUUUCAUAAUUUGUCUUUGUGCUGCAGUUAUAUCAAAGAAGGAAGUACCAUUAGUGUGAUUGGUGUUGUCCGGCGCCAUGAUAAUUUGAUUAUGAUUGUCCCCCCAUCAGAACUCAUGUCAACUGGCUGUCGCUGGUCCUGUUGCUUACUGCCUACUUAUAUUGAAGGCCUUAUUUUGACAUGUGAGGAAAAUCAGAAUGGUGAUGCAAUUCCUGUAUAGGAACAUGAACGUUAACAUUGGAUUGCAAGUCACAAGUAGAUGAUGAAAUGGUGGGGUAGAUGGAAGAAGGAUCAUUGCGAGACUGUAGAUGGCCAAGGCGAUGAAAAAAGCGUAAGGCGAUGAAACACUCAUAUUUGACAGCACUCGUUUCGAUACACACCGGCCACUGAUAUUUGAAGGGGUAAAAGGAAUAUCUGGAGCCAGUUACGUUCUUGAUUUUUCUGCUGCAGCUAUCAUAUGUGCAUAAAGUAAUUAUGGUGCCCGUUUCUCUUCUAAUCUAUAUGAAUCAACGAUCAUUUUCGGUCUAUCAAAUAUGAAAUUUUAAUAUGAUUCUGUUGUCAUUAUACGACAACCAGACCCGAAUGAUGCAUAGCAUGCUUUUCUGCCUCCCGGAUGCUUCUGUGCUUAUGAACAAAUUAGUUAACAAAAUAUAAACCCGAGUCCUGCAGAAAUUCUUAGAGGAAAACAACCAAGAAGAGAUCACAUAGUUUAUGGUCAGUGCUUCGGGUAGGGGAGAAUCUUAUUCAUCAUACUCUGGGAGGCAAAUUGUAAGAAGGAAAUAUUCCAAAGAAGAGCAAAUUAAAGGACAAGAAACUACAGCCUGGAGGGCGUUCCUCCAGCAACUACCAAAAUUUCUCCGGUCACAUAAGAGGCAUCUUCUGAAGCCAAAUAGGCCGUUGCUGCAGCCAUAUCUUGUGUUGUUCCUAGCCUGUUGAGCAAUGCCUUUUCCUCGAGGUUCUUCCUCUAUAAACAAAACCAUGAUGUGGAAUAAGCUCACGAAAAGCUGAGUCAUAAAAUUCAGAUGAAUUAAUUAAGAUUAGCAUCAAAUGGCUAGGGAAACCUUACCAUGCUUUUAUUGCUUGUGAUAGCUGAGGCAAAGUGCGUGGGAACAAAGCCCGGUGCAACACAAUUUACACGAGUAUUUGGGGCCAUCUCAGCUGCAAGUGCCUAAAAACAAGCAAAACUCAAAUAAGAUGGAAUUAAUUGGGUUGUAAAAGUGAGAUAAACCGAAAUGUAGUUCUACCUUUGUGAGCCCAAGAAGGGCGGUUUUGGUCACCCCGUACAUAGCCAAGGCCUCAGAGGGUUGGUAGGCAGCUAUAGAAGAAAUGAGAACAACUGAUGAACCCUUCUGCAAGUGAGAAGCUGCUUCCUGCCCCCAUUAAAAAUGCACUAUCAACAAGGUAAAAAAUUGCAAAUAAUCUACGUUACAUUUAAAACAUGACCAAAACAAAAAGAUGGCGAAUGCCAACAGUGCAUUAAGCAAGCCCAUUAUGUCCUUUAAGACAAUUGAUAUACUGUAUAUGGACCUUAAUCUCAUUGAAUGGACUUACUUGCAUAAGAAGAAUAGACGCUUUCACAUUGAUCUCCCAUAAUUUAUCGAGGACAAUUUCUUUAGUUUCCAAGAUGGCAGUCACAGCAGGGUUUGCAGCAGCAUUGGACACGAUUACAUCCAGUCUCCCAUAUCUCUGCAAGUAAAAGAACAAGGUCCAUGGGAAGAAAAUUUCAAUCUCUAUAAUUAUAUCUUAAAACAAACAAGGGAAAACAGAAUGUUUUCUAUAAUAUAUCCACAUUUAAGCUCUAAAAUUCCCAUAUUCUGUCUUCAAAUUUAGAUUUCAGUUUAGAAUAAGAGAAAAACAAAAGGAAAUAAGCAAAUACAAUAUAAAUUCAAGAAUAAUUAAAUACUCUGAAGCAAGUAGCCAAGACAUGAUGACAUAAUCAUGAAAAGGAGGUACCAUUUCAUAAUGCAUAACUUGCAUUUAAGGCCAAUUCCCCUUGUCGAUGACUACCUCCGAGGCAACAUAACUUGGUGCAGAUUAGUCAUUAGCGAGAAGCAAGGACCUAACCCUUGGCCACAUUAGAUGGCUUCUCGACACCGAGGCGGUUAAGUUUGAAGCCUAAUAGUAGGACGGUUGUAACUUGACAAUUUAAGCCACAUGCAAUGUGAUUGAUGCAAUAUCUCUACAAGAGCGAUUGGGAAUCAAAUUCCCUCUUUCCCGCCUAGAAUAGCGUGUGUGAGGUCAUAGGCCUAUGAUAACUAGGACUUGAUGUUUUGGUACUGUCAUGUGAGUCAAAAUUUAAUGUGGUAGGUGAAAGGCAAAGAACAACUUUAUUUUUGCUGCAGUAGCCCAAAGAAAUAAAACCCAAAUGACAGGAUAGAAUUGGAUUAAUUGAGGUUUUAACAUCUUCACAUUAGAAAGCACAUCCAUGUUAGUAGGCUCAUGAACAAGAAAUUAUCUAAUGAAACUAACCAUACAUAUAAAAUAUGGUGAGGGACAAAAUAAUAAUAAUAAUAAUGAAAAUAUAUGUUUCAUUUAUUAAUUAUACUUAUAAGUUGUAAAAUAUUUAUUGACUAUGAAAUAGAUGUUAUUAUCAAAAUAGGUAACUUGCUCUAUAUUUAAUUUUAUCUGUAGAAAAAUAUUUCUUAAAAUUUUAUUUAUUUAUAAAUUAACAUUAUUAAAAUUAUAUUAUUGAAGUGAGUCAAACAAGAAAGUGAAAUGAAUCCAAUUUCUUUGAACUCUCGAUAUUCUUAGUCAAUUUUUCUUACUUAAGGUGGAAUUAAAAUGUGUUGAUAUAGAAGACUAAUGCCCGUAUUAGAUAAUAUUUUCAGAACGAUAUAUAUUGACUAAAAACCUUUAAUAACUGGUAUGACUUAUUGUUCUUUUUAGGCCCUGAGUCUCAUAAUAGUCGGAAUAUGUUUUUCUUUAUCUUUUGUUGGUGGGUAUACAUUAUUUGUUCAUGUCCAUCAUACUUUCGCACAUUUUAUAUUUUCUAGGGAGGUGUUAAGAUUUUUUAUUUGGCAAGAAAAGCUACGAAAAUUUGGUAAAACAUAUUAAGGAUUGAUAUGUUUAUGCUUAUUUGAAUAUCUGACUCACUUUGUACUUUGUCAUCAAUGUCAUAACUUUAGUUUUUUGAACAAUAUUUGGUGUGGCGUGGAGCAUAUCUCAUGGCAUGAGUUCAUCGAUUUUUAUUUAUUUUUUAUUUUAGUCCAUCUUAACAUCUUUUCCUGACUCUGCCCCUGGAUGAGGCCAUGUGUAAAGCAUCUCAAACUCAUUCAUUUGCCUAUAAAUACUCACAAUAAAAAGGUAUUGAAGAGUUUUGUAUUCACUCUAAAAAUAAAAACCUCGUUUUCCUUUUUUGUGCUUCUCCCACACUCAAUAUACUUCGUUGUCCUUUUUCUUACUUGAACGUGUAGGAUUGCAGUCUUCCCACCUUUGUUCGGAGAGGUAUCAGACUUGCUCCUUUAAGGAGAGCAUUCCAAGUGCAAAGAUAACUGGCAUGUGGAAGAGAGUGGAGAUGGAUUUAUUGGUGAGCUGGAUACCAUCCAAAUUGAAGGUCAACAGAGUCAUGCUACUUGUACAACUUUGUUUGACAACUUCACACUUGACAUCAUUACGUUCAUUCAUUUUAAAAACUCUUUUUUAAAUCAAUGGCUGGAUUUUGACAACACCAAGGUUGUCAAGAAUGAUUGUCAACAAGUAUUGUACAAAUAGCUUAAUUCUCUUCCUUAAUACUACUAUUCAAUUUCAUAUAGACCACCCGUAUCAAACAACCAUGAAAGGAUCCGACUUGAUUAAAAUUACAGUAACAAAAGUUAAUUCACAUUAUCACCUGAAGGGUUUUCUGUAUCAGGUUCUUUCUUUGUUGUGCAUUAGAUACAUGGCAUACUAUACCGAGCACUUCAAUUCCCCGAGCCUUGAGUUUUUCCACUGCUCCAUCAACGUUUUUCUGCAGCCCCACUUACACAACAUAUGAAUACAAAUAAUCAAAAAAAAAAAAAAAAGGAUUUGAUUGAGAAAAUUCAAGAAAUCCAGGCUAACUAAUUAUUAAUAUCUUAAUUAAAAUAUAAAUUUCUGGCAAGAUCUGACAAGUAAAUAUUUAAACUUAAUUAAAAUUUUCAACACACCAGAUGAAGAACUGCGUAAAAAAAUGAGGGGAAAAAUUCAAGGAAAUAAAGAAAAUCGCAUACUUGUUUGCGAGAGGAGACAACAACGGAAGCGCCUUCCAAUCCAAGACGCUCUGCAAUGCUGUAGCCGAUGCCCUGAGUCGAAGCCGUGACUAUGGCUACUUUCCCUUCAAAUCUUCGUCCAAAUUUCUCCAUUUUUCCUUAUUUUCUUGUUUCAACAGCAGAAGUAUAUUUCUUUUAAGGUUAUAGUAAUUUAUCCAAUUUUUAGAGUUCUUGGGAGUGAAGAGGGCACGACGCAACAAACGAUCACAAUCGUUAGAUUUAGAACCGUUGGAUGUCAAUUUCUUCUUUAGAUUGAUCAAAUACGGAGUUCAUAGUUUACACAGAGAACCUUUAAUUUAUAGAAUUAUGGAUUUUAAAUACAUCAAUAGUUUGCGAUCUUCAUCUUGAAAAUGGCGUGUUUAAUUGCUAAAAGUUCAAUUUUUGCGUAAAAUAAUUAUUGUAACUUAACUUUGAAUAAAUAAAAAAGAACGAAAACAAAAUCAAAAGAUCGGGAAAAAAAUAAAUAAAUUGUGAUAGAGAUGGUAUUGAUGACAAAGAAGGUGAAGCGAAGGAGUUUGAACCCCUCUCAUCUUAUUUGACAAAUACAACGGGACUAUUAUCCACCACUGUUCUAAAAGGCAACGUCGCCAAUGUGUGUUGCACGGUGGAAAUGUCAAGCCAUUUAUUUAGUGGUCAACAGUAAUCGUUGACCAUUAAUGCAUGCCUAAUGAUUAUUAUUAUUAUUAUUUAAAAGUUAUAAUUCAAAUGUUGAUUUCUUCACUUUGUUUAUUCUAAAUUCAAAAUAGCUGCUUGAAACCUUGAAUAAAGAAGAUCUCCAAAAAAUGUCUAUUUAUUUAUUGUUUAAUAUUUACAUUUGGAACUUAUCUUUUUGUUGAAAACUUUGGAAGAAUGUCUAAAUUUCUACUAAAUUUGUUUUAAAUGUUUGGUUGGUAUUAUUUUUAAUUAUUAAAAGAUUUUUUGAUUGAUUUAAAAUUUAAAAAAUAUAUUAAAAUAAGAAUAUGCCCUUUUAGGCUUUUUUAUGCCUAUGCCUUGCUUUAGCUCUCCCAAAUGUAUCAUAAGCUCACGUCUCUCUAAAUUUGUUCUACUGUGACACACAAAACAGAUGCUUGACUUAUUACCUUUUAGUCUUUACAUGAGAUGAAAAUAUUAGGCUGACUUAGUCUUUGUUUGAGCCCCAUUCUGGGAUAAAGAAUGCAUUUUAAAUGGUAGAUUGAUGGAGAAUGUGUGAUUAAAAAUUAAGGAAAAAUUUUGAGUUUGUGUGAAAUAUUAUUUUAUUGAAUAAUAGAUGGCUGUAACUAAAUUUCACAUAAUCAUCAUUUUUUGCCCUGACCCCACGCCCUCGCUCUCGCUAUUUACCUGACUUCUUGUAACCAAUAAUGUGAACAUUUUCAUUGCUGCUGCAUAAGGAACUGUGGUCUUACAGACAACUUAUCUUCACUGUGGAAAAGUGUAAAAAUUCUACUGAUAGCAUUAACAUUUUGUCGUUUCGCUGAGGAAAAGCACCCCAGAUUUCCAGCUUCACGUCCCACAAUACUCAAAAGCAAUGUAAAUUGAAUCAUAUAUUGUUGCUCUUCAAAACAGACAGCAACAUUUCUGCACAUUAGUAAAAGGAUGAAAUUAGAUCAAGUAUCGAAUUUGGAUUUUUGAAGCUUAAAUGGUCACGGUCAUGAAGGCUUGGCAUAACCUUUGAUCUAGUAGUCUUCUUGUUUGGACUGGUUGGAUAAUCGUUGGCAGUUUGUAAGGGCACGGGAGAGAAUUUAGCAGCCGCUAUUUGUUUUUCCUCUUUCACUUUGUUGAAGAUGACGGUGAAACCUUCCCCUGAUCUAGGGUCUCUUUCGUCCCAUUCACCAAAUUUUGGAACAGAUGCUGAUUUAUAGGACUGCCACACGAGUUUUUCAUUGCCAGAUAAGUUUUCUGGAAAUUACACUAGUAUUCUAUUAGAUAGUCGAAAUUACUUACAAAAUCAUCCGCAUGAUUCAUUCUAUUAGGCCCUGCUGAUAGUGGAUUGCUCCUGCUAUUACUGCCAACAUCCAAAGAUUUAUUUCGCUCAGAUCUUCUACGCUGGUGCUUUGGCUUAAGGAAUGAAUUAUCUGAUGCGCUUUUAUCGCUGCCUGAUUCUGAAGCUGCGUUCCUUUGACGAACAUACUGCUGAAAAUUUCCAGCUGCCACCGAUUUAUCAGGACUAAUACGGAUAGAUGCUGAAGCAGCACCAGAACGACUUCUAUUUCCAAAAUUGAAGGCCUCUGGAUUCUGCUCCGGAUCGUUUGGAUUUAUCAUUACACCACCUGUUUUCUCUUUGCGGGCAUUCUCGAAGUAAGCUGUAUAGGGCACAUUAUCACCUUCCCAGUUCCCGAACUUAGGAACGUGUGAUCUCUGUGAAAUAUCCAAAUGCUACAGAAGAUUAGUAAAUUACAAUACAUUCAUGGAAGAUUCUGAGAUAUGAACAGAAAUUUUCAUCCUAGAUCGGACAAAUCAUUUCCCAGCAACAGUAUGAAAUUUAGCCACGAUGAGUGAAAUGAGGAUCGCACUGCCACCAAGACUGAUGAUGGUGAAUACCAUUAUAUAUUAUGCUCAGAACAAGAAUAACAAUACAAUCUAUAACAUUUCAGUUUAGCACUGGAAUUCAAGUGACUGGAAAAUUGUAGUUGGGACGUAAAAAAAUCUUAUGAACAUUUAUUAACAUUAAAUUAAGAAAACUUGAUCAUAAAUGAGAACGAAGAGGUAAAUUGAUUCAAACGCUUACAGCCAUCAAUCAGAAAUUUUGUUCUUCCUCCUUCCACUGAUUUCUGAGACAAUGCUAUUGACUACCAAGAGAAAAACUUGUCGUAGAAGAAGAGAAAACAUGAAGACAACUGGAGUUUCCGCGUGGGUCCAUUUCAAAUUGGCGUUCAACAUCAUCUGAGAUCUCAAUGAACCCACCGGACAAUUCUUUGAAAAUUACGAAAUCUGUUCGUAAGCAAGACAAAGUUUCUUUACUAAGCACAAAGGAUUACGUCCUUAUCACUCUGAUCUUGACUGCAUUUUUGUCACUUUUUCUGUGACAGGAUCGAUUGAGUGGCUUGACGGAGGAUAACCGUUUGACGGAGAAACCAAAAUUGAAAUAUUAAGAAUUUAAAUACCUAGAAAAAAUUUGAUUGGCACUUAACAUUGGGCCCAUAUAUCAAAUUUCAUAUGGUCCAAAGGAUUGGUCCAACAGUCCCAACAAUGUGUCCCAAGAGAGAUAUGUCAAGCCCAUUGGAGAGGGCCCAAUAAGCCUAAAUCCGACAAAAGAAUAUGCGCCAGUGUAAACCGGCGUAUCUCUCCGCCAAAAAGGGACAAAGGGUUGAUAUUUUGCCAACACGCUUAAAAUUUUAGUAAACCCCAAUUUUUGCCAUGAAAUAUCAUGAAAUUCCUGUGACUUUUCGCCUUUUGUUUACUGAGAAACCGACCCUUCUGAAAUUCAAUUUUAAAUUUUUCUAUACCUAAAUGGGCGAGUAUUAGAUUAUUGAGAAAAGGAGGGAAAAGUAUGGCGAUUUCUCUGUCUUGUUCUGUGGUUUCUCGGAUUUCAAUUUCAUCGACGUACUCUUUUAUGAAAGCAAAUGAAUUGGGAUACUCAUCGGUUCUAUUGAAAUCUGUAAACCCUUUUCGGUUAAAUUGUCUGUCUACACUUACCACUUCUGCUGCUGCUUGUCAUUCCAGGUACUUCUUAUGUUUCAUUUUGGUAAUUUCUCUCUUGUUGUCACUAAUAAUUGAAGGGAGAAGUUGAGUUUAUCUGGGUUGUGGAUAUUUCGAUUGAAUUUUUUCUUCGGGUGUCUGUGUUUACUGAAAUGGGAAAAAUAUUUGAAAAACUAAGAAAUGUGAUUGAGCUUUUCCAAGUGUUAUUUUUCCAUUGAUAUGUGUGUGUGUUCAGAUUUCCUAAUCACCGGUAUAAAGGCUCACGCAUACGCACGAACAUGAAUUGUGUACUGCAUCUGUGUUUCAGCUGUCAGUAAGAAAUUAAGAAUGAAAAAUCUAGUUAAAUAUUUUUUUGAUUAAUUAGUCAGAUUAAGACUUUAUGAUCCAAUAGAACUCCGGAUUUGGUGAGUUUAUUAUACUUGAAUGGCGUAAAAGGCUCUCUUUUCAAAUAUCUUAUGGUUAAGUGAUUUGAAAACUGCCCACAAAUACUUGCUUCUUGUUAAUUUUCUGCCCCCAUCCCCUCGCUUUCCUCUGCCAUAUGUUUAUAUUUUUCUUUGUGAUUCGGAAGUAGAAAGCUGUUCAACGUUCGAGCGACAGUGUUGCAAGAGAAUGAAGAUAAAGUGAUUGUAGAGGAAUCAUUCAAUCCAAAGAGUUUUCCUGAGAAGGAAGGAAAGGGAAGCUCAGGGGAGCCACCUGACGAUCCAUCCUCCAGUGGUUUAGAGAAGUUGAUUAUAAAGUUUGAGCAAUCUAUAAAUAUUUUUCUCACGGUACACAUCACAUUAAUUCAGCCGCUUCGGCCUGUAAUUUUCAGUUAGAAAGAAACAAAUCCUCUCUUUUUUGGGAUUGACACUCUUCCUUUUACAUACGAUAACCUUCUAUGAUUGAUACCAAAAAUAUUUUGACAGAUAGUAAAACAACAUUUCUAAUUCAAAUAUGGUCUAAAUCUGUGUCCUCUCGCUCUAAAUUUCAGCAUAAAUUGAUGAUUGUAUGUGGAAGGAUUUAGUUUGGUGAAAAUCGUAAUGCUCACACCUAAGUUCUUUAUUAUGUCUUCUGUCAAUUUUGUUGACACAGCUAAGGGGAGAAAGUGCACUUUUAGCAACAAGAUAUUAUGUUGAACACUUCAUUAAUAUCAGUUGUGGUAUCUACUUUCACUUGUUUUGAAACAUAUUAACUUAUUAAUGAAUUCUUUUUCACAAUUUUCUGGACUUCUGUUUUUCAUGUUUGACAGAUUCAUAAAUUUUGGAUAUAUAUGAAGUUUAUAUGAUCUGGAAAUGUAUUGUCAUGUUAUUGCUUUAUUAUUGUAAAUAUUGUCAUAUUACUAUCCCUUGCACUAUCACAUCAUGCUAUUUCUGUUGUAAUAUGUUUCAUGUACCACCAUUUCAGGACUCAGUCAUAAAGAUACUUGACACCUUGUACCAUGACCGCGAUUAUGCGAGAUUUUUUGUUCUAGAAACUAUUGCAAGAGUUCCUUAUUUUGGUAACUACUGAAGUUCUGUAUUGCUAUAGUUGUUUUAUUUUGUCUUAAUUUCGAGUUGCUAGAAGUCAGAAACUCUUUUUGCACACACAUUUCCACUUUAGCCCUUAAAAUCCCAAAGGCAAGGGUACACUAUAUUGAGUGUUGUUCCAGACAUGUUGCCUUAAUAUAUAUUGAGUUCCUAUAUGCACAACAGCUAUGAUCUGAGACAAAAAAAGAAAAAAUGAAAACCGUGUUAACAAUACAGAAUAUUAUAAUGUAAACUUCUUAUACAUUUCUUAUGAGAACUGGCGGCUCUAAUUUGAUGUUAUGGCAGCCUUCAUGUCUGUGCUGCACAUGUAUGAGAGCUUUGGAUGGUGGCGACGAGCGGACUAUCUGAAAGUUCAUUUUGCUGAGAGCUGGAAUGAGAUGCACCAUUUGCUUAUUAUGGAAGUAAUACUUUUAUCUGAGCCUCUUCAUCUCUCCUCCACAAACACUUGAUAGGUUUAUAUAUUGCGCUAAUUUUAAAACAGGCUUCAGACACAGAAUGCAUCCAGUUGUAUUAUGGAAUCGAUGUCAAUAUAUAUUUAUAUUUUAGACAGUAAAAGAUUUGCUAGAAGACAUUCGUGAAGUAUAUAUAGUUAAUGAUAUGCUCGAAGGAGCUCUGGCAUAAUGCUACGUUUUCGGCAAACUCGGGGAUUGGAAUUUUAGUUUAAGAAGCUUAUGAUUUAUAAAUAUUUUGGGGGGGGGGGGGGGGGUUUUUUUUAAAAACAAAAAAAUUUAAAAAAAAAAAAAAAAAAAAAAGAAAGAAAAGNNNNNNNNNNNNNNNNNNNNNNNNNNNNNNNNNNNNNNNNNNNNNNNNNNNNNNNNNNNNNNNNNNNNNNNNNNNNNNNNNNNNNNNNNNNNNNNNNNNNNNNNNNNNNNNNNNNNNNNNNNNNNNNNNNNNNNNNNNNNNNNNNNNNNNNNNNNNNNNNNNNNNNNNNNNNNNNNNNNNNNNNNNNNNNNNNNNNNNNNNNNNNNNNNNNNNNNNUUAUUUUUGUGGGGGGGGGGGGGGGGGGGGGGUUCUUAUUGAAACAUCAAAAAAUUUAAAAUAAAAUAAAGAAGAAGAAGGAAGAAUAGGGAUGCAUUCUACGUUGAAUUAUUCCAGUCCAGAAAGAAAGAAGUUGGAAAUAUAUAGCACAAAAAGGAAUCAUCUUUCUUAUUGCACUUUAAGCGUACAGAAAAUUCUAAUGUGGUACUGACCUUUUCUAUCAAUUGCACAAAAAUGAUAUAUUUUCUUAUUUGAUUGAUAUCAAAUGUCCCAAUUUUGAUGGUAUUGCAGGAGUUGGGGGGAAAUGCUUGGUGGUUCGAUCGGUUCCUUGCUCAACAUGUUGCAAUAUUUUACUAUUUUAUGACUGCUUUUAUGUAUGCUUUGAGCCCAAGAAUGGCAUGUGAGUAUGAAUUCGUGCUAUUACAGCUAUAUAUUUAAAGCUUUAAAAGCUCACUUGCUUUCCUUUAUACCCAUGUUUCAAUAUAGGAAUUUCUUUUCAAUUUCUGGCUCUGUUUCUAACAAUCCAUUGUAGUUGAAAAGGCAAACAUGUCAUAAUUGUGCAGACUCAAACAAAAUGUUGGUCUGCAAGUGGACUAUUUAAAUGGAAAUGUUACUUUAAAUUAAAAUGUAGUAUCACAUCUUUUCUGGCAACCUCCCCACUGUGGCGCCCCCCCUCAUGUACACCCCUUAUGCCAAGUAUAAGUGGACUACCUUGUCUUCAUUUCUUUUGAAUGGAUUUAUUUUUUUAUUUUUUGUCUUGUUUGUUGUCAGUGUUAAUCGGCAGAAAAGAAUUUCCUCCUGUUCUGCUUUUGCAUCAAGCUUCUAAGUUUGUUAUAUCUUUUCCUAAAAAUGAACCAGAGUCUCUUUUUCAUUUAGAAAAUCACUAGAAGGUUAUGUACUAUUAAGUAAUUUGUGACGUAAUAGCUUUCUUCCAUUCUGCAGAUCAUUUCUCUGAAUGUGUGGAGACUCAUGCAUUUGAAACUUAUGACAAGUUUAUCAAAACUCAAGGAGGUAGUCCCAAAUAUUUUCGAAUCUUCUCUUAGCUUGUGGCAUUCUGCAUGUCUGCAUGUAUACUAUCACAACUAGGAGAUAGCACUAUUAACUUACAACUCUAUCAAUGGCUGUGACUUACAUGUAUCUCUGAUGAUCCCAAAGAAUUGUUUAAAGAUGGAGGAACAAGUAAAAGUAAAAAAUUUCUGAUAUUUCGAGAAUGGUUUUCCUGCAUCUUUAACGUUCCUCGUUCUUCUUCUGACAAAGAGCAAAUGGAAGAAAGAAAUAGCUUUCUCUUUAUUUUCAUGCUGUUAAUGGUGGUAAUAUGUCGUUCUUUGUCCCACCUGCAGAGGAGUUGAAGAAAUUGCCUGCACCUACAAUUGCGGUUAAAUAUUACACUGAAGGUGAUUUGUACUUAUUUGGUAAGUUUUAGUGUUAUUGUCCGGGUACACUUUUACGGUGCAUUACAGCCUAUCAAAAUCUAACAAUUUUUAGUUGCUUCACCAUUUCAGAUGAAUUUCAAACAGCAAGACUUCCCAAUAGUCGACGGCCAAAAAUUGGUGAGAAUAAUAUCUUGAAUAUUUAAAGCUUUGCAAUGUUAAGGCAUCUUGGGCCAUUUAAGGAAACCUAGUGUGAGUUUGUCCAAUUGAAAUGUUACAGUUUUCUGGCUUCUAAGCUAUAACCCCACUUCUUCACAAUUCAAGAGUGUAGAUAUGCAAAUUUGAAUUUAAAUUCCGUAAUACCAUAGGACAUGCUUGUGGACUGAGACAAUGCUUAAAAAUGUUCCAUUUUAAUGCCUGCUAUAAAAUUCUACUGUCUAAAAUAUUAAGGGAGUGAUGUAUUUUAUUUGGAUUUUGUCACUUUUUUCUUUCUUCGUUCUUUUGAGUGCACAGUUGAACUUAGGCAGCAGCCUGCCUCUGAGAAUUAUUCUACGUGAUCAGAAAUUUGGCAAGUGUUCCUCAGUACUUUCUUUCUAUAGAAUUUGUACGACUUUCAACUAGUACUUGUGUCUAAGAGUCGUACAGCCGUGGUACAAUUUUGCAGUCAAAUUUCUAUUUUCCGUGGUUGCAUAUUGAAAGCAUGCUAAUAGAAGUUAUCUUCUUGUUUGACUGUUUUCUAUUCCAGAGAAUUUGUACGAUGUCUUUAUGAACAUUAGAGAUGAUGAAGCAGAGCAUUGUAAGACAAUGAAAGCCUGUCAGACUCACGGUAGCAUCCGCUCCCCUCACUCGUAUCCAGAGGAUGCACGGGAUGAUGAUUCGGGUUGUAUAGUUCCUGAGGCAGACUGUGAAGGCAUUGUAGAUUGCAUAAAGAAAUCUGUAAAGGACUCCGGUGCAAAGAAAAAGUGAUAAGCAUCAAAAAGAGUCGAUGAAAAUUUUACUGUAUUGUAAUACCUUUUUUUCCUAUAGGAAAAUCAUCUGUACACAUGCAUGUAUAGCCAAAAAAAAUUGCACUUUCUUGGCCUGAAAGAAUAUAGUUAUACCUGAAAUGUAAUUCUUAAAUCCUCGUACUUCAAUUUUGUGAGAGGAUUUACCUCUUCAAUAAUUGUAUGCAAUGAGCAGUCCCAUCUUACACACAACAUCAAUUGUGAUGGAGUUAAUUAAGCCCUUGUUCGAUUCCCAUUAAAUUAAAUUACAUUACAUUCCAUUUUUCUCUCUUCUAUUUUCAACCACACAAUCUUCCAUAAAAUAAUAUUGCACGUAAAUCGACAAUUUUUCUUUCUUUUUCAAUCACUCAUUUUUCUAAAAAAAUAAUAUUUCUCCCAUUUUCAUUUUCAAGUAAUGGGAAUCAAAUAGGGGCUAAAUUAUUUUUUGAUCAUCCUGAAGUCGGAGGAUUUUCUUAAUUUAGUGUCCCACGAUUAGUUUUUUCUUUCGGCAAAUUGAGAGAAAUGGUGACUGAAGUCAUUAUUGCUCUUUGAUGAACUCAUUAUGGUCCCUCAUUUUCUAGAAUGAAAAAUGCUGGAGUGACUUAAAAUUUUUGCCAGAAAAGGUGAGAGUCAGUCACAUGCUGUGGGUCCGUAGAUGUAAAAAAAAAAAAUAUUUUUUCCUCCUUUUUUGUUACGGCCUCUGUCAGACAUGUUAUUGUAGCAAAUCCCUCUAGAAUACUGAACACGGGCAUAUGUUUGAAAUUAAUUGAUACUUUGAAAUUAUUGAGGAUAUAUGUUGUUUGAAAUUAAUUGAUACUUUGAAAUUAUUGAGGAUAUAUGUCUCGGUAAAUAGGGUGGACGAAGGUUGGGCUAAGCAAUCGAUAGGGGCUCGAUGGGAGGGAGAUAACCUCCCAAUAAAUCCAGCUCUAUAAUUUGAAUUGUUUGCUAAUACAACUACCUCCGUGCACUGAGGCAACCAUAUUAAAGCAUUUUUGAAGAGUGUUAAAUUAAUAAUUUUGCGAAUAAAAAGCAAUUUGACAUAUAACCAUGACCGAAACAUAUGCUUGAUUUUAUUCACAUUUUCUUUGAUUGAGGGAGGAAGGAAGGUGAUUCCAUUUAAGAACCCCAACUUGAGGUAAGAUUCUUUGACUUUACUCGGGAAAUUUUGGCUAUUGUUCUUGGUUUAUGGGCAUUAGUGAUAUUAAACUCAUAUAUACGAUAUGUGUUUAAAGUUCCGAAACAUGUAUUUGAAAUGGGUUUCAUGUUUUGGUUUCGAUGUGUUGUAAAUAUAGGAGGGAUGAAGAAGAAACAAAAAUGAAAUUCACAAAAAGUAUGGCAACAAUAGGAACAAAACCAAAAAAUUGUAACAACAAAUGUGAAGGUUUGAACGCAGGAUUGCUGUCCUUAAACGUUAUUUGUCCUCUCUCCAGUGUUUAUGAGAUGUUUAAGGGUAUUCCGGCAAAUGGUUUGAAGGAUUGUAACAAGCCUUGUAAAGAAUUUCACCAAAGCACAAAGUGAAAUUCUUCCAAAACUUGAAAAAAACGAAGAUAGAAUGAAUAUGAAUGUAAACCAGGACUUGAUUGUUUUUGGAACAAAGUAUGGAUUGUAAGAUGUUUUCAAUCUUUGUAAUGUAUUUGUUUUGAUCAUUCAUCACCUAUUUAUAGGCCUCAAUUAAUACAUCACGAAAUGGUGCCAAAACAAAAUGAAAAGUGGCAACUUUUAAUCUAAAACGGCUCCCAAGUUUCAAAUUGAAAAACCAGUCAACGGCUAUUUUUUUAACAUUAUGCGUACGCAUAGUAUAAACCUUGCGUACGCAUAGUAGAAGCAAAUUUAAUUCUGAUUUUGCCAAAACACAUCUCGUGUAAGCACAAAAUUAAGCUACGCACAGGCCAAAAAAUCAAAUUUUGUAUUUUUCAAUUUCUUUUGAUUCUAGUAAUUCCACAAUUGAGUCCAACAAUUAGUCCAUUAUCAUUCCAUUGAUUUUGUCUUUAAAUGACUUGAAUUAAUUGAUUUUUAAGUGUGUGGUUUCCAUGCCUUGAAGGUCUGGAUUAUGUUUUGGGUUUGAAAUGUAAAAGGGGAAGAAGAAAAUAUGAAGUCGGUGUGAACAAUAACGUGCUACUGUUCACAGUGGCCGUUCGCCGGAAAAAAAUGAUUUUCAUGGAUUUCAUCCUCAGAGUUAUUGUAAUGGAAAAUAUGCACUAUGCUGGAAAUAUUAAGUCUACAGAACGAGGUUUUAGUGUUGGAUAAUCCUAUGUGAAGGGGCUAAUAAUGAUAAACAAUUUCAAGUUGAAAUUUUUGAAGUCAAAAUUGAAGAUGCAAACUUCUGCAAGUUCAAUCUGUUCCUAAUAAUAGGAGAAAAUGAGAUAUCCGGUACCAAUGCGAAUGGACAAUGGACCUCCCAAGUCUCAAACACAUUUGUUCGGGUUGCAUGUGAGGUAAGCAAAGCUUCAUAAACACUUAAAAUGCGCGAAGAUAUUUGAUAUUUAUUAAACAGCAUGCAUUAUAUAAUUUAAAUACCGAGUUUGUGUAAAUUGAUUUAUCAUUUGUAAAUGUUUUAACUUCAUUUUAAACUAAAAACAAGGACUAUUCACUUAUUCACCACUCAUUUCUAUUAAUUUAUAAAUUAAACUUAUUAAGAAUUCUUCCCAAUUGUGAAGACCUGAGCAUUUUGAAGAAAAUUCUUAAACGAAUACACCAAAAUACUUCAAACUUUGUUUUAUCGAAGAAAAUACUGCUUUUCUUUUCUUGGAAAACUUGAUAGGAAAAUAGUCUACCUUGGUAAGAGAUACACUGUGAGACUUAUUCUUUUUACAUCAUUUAGUUUAGUGAAGGCAUAAAUCAAAU